rnacentral:lncRNA from 1 species
ACAAACAAAUAAGUGUUGGCGGUAACGUUUAUAGAAUGCAGAACGAAAGAACACAGAAUCCAUUCUUCCCUUCUACAAAUAUGAGAACUUACUUUUCCCUCAAGAAACCACUCUGCAUUUAGGCCACGGUAACCAGGAAAAGCGAUAGGUAGAAGCAUUGUAUAAACCCAAGAGCAAUACAGUAAGAUAUAGAGAAUAUGAGGUCUUGUAUGACAUGAAACUGAAGAAUGAACAGCGUGACUCUGUCACUCUGAUGGUAGCCGUCUCCUCUUUCCAUAGUCCACAUCUCUCGAUCGAGAUCUGUGGUCUUCAUCCGGGAUUGCUCGGGACCUGCUCCGAGAUCUUGAAGACGAUUGCCCCCUGUCCCAGUUGUCAUCAUAAGUUGAGUCACGAUCUCUUUGUCGACGAUCACGAUAACUAUCUUUUUCUUCCCUAUGUCUGUGAUCUCUGUGAUCCCUUUCAGAUCUGUCCCAGUCUUGUUCCCUCUCCUCUCGGUGCCUCCUAUCUGUGUUCCCAGACCAGUCACGCUCAGAACCACGAUCCUUUUCCCGGGAGGCAGCAGUUGACCUUGCUCCUUUUUCAUGAUUUGCCUCCCCAUACCCAUAAUCAGAAGCACCAUCAUCACCACCAUAACUUGACUCCCUUGUCCUUCGUCCAUGUUCCUCUCCUACCCAUCCACCCAUGCUUGAGUCAGUCCACAUCCCUGGAUGCGGUCCAUCCAUUCCAGAAGAACCCAUCAUACCCAUCCCAUUAGCUGCCAUUCCUCGGUUAAAGAAUGCUGGGUUGACAUGAGGAGCCACCCCAGCAAGGCCCAUUGCAUUAACAGCAGGAAAUGAAGGAAGCAUCCCAGGAAAACCUGGACCCGAAAAACCUCCAUAAGCACCUCCUCGACCCAUGUAUGUUGGAUCAAACCCUCCCAUCAUAUUCUGUGGAUGCAUCAUACCACCCGCAGGACCCCCAAAGCCAGGACCUGCAAGGCCUUGUCCAUAACCUCCACCAGCAGCAGGUCCAGCACCGCUUCCAGCUCCAGAACUACUCCCAAUCAUGUUCUUUGCACCCAUGGGCCCUCUUCCCCUCAUCGCUCCACCACCAGGACCUCUGUUGGGUACACCCUGCCCACCUCGUCCCCAGCCGCCCCUUCCAAAAUUCCUACCUCCAUCACCACUCUGAUAAUUCAUGUUACCACCUCUCCCACCACCGUCGUUCAUAGGUCUCCUUCCCUGAGUCUGUGACUGAGGCUGGCCUUGGUUUUUGUUCAUGUAAGAAGCUCCCAUCUGUUUCAAUGUUUGAGGAGAAGCAAAAGCCACAACACAUGGUCGUCCAUUGAAAACAUGACCAUUCAUUCCAUCUUUGCACGCAGCUGCAGCAGCUGCAUCAAAGAAUUCGACUUGGCAAUAACCUUUGGAUUUACCACUAGCUCUCUCAUCAAAAAACUUAAUCUCCUUGACCCUUCCAUACUGAGACAAAACACUUUCAAGCUCCGCAUCAGUUGUCCACCAAUGUAAUUCUCCCACAAACAGCAUUGUCCCACCAUUCUCUAGAGGAGGCCGGAUUUGAUUCUCAUUCACCAUUGCACGAUUGACAUUUAUAUUCACACCCAUUUGAUUAGCUGGAAUCAGAGCACCUUGAGGACCAGCAGCACCGGGAUUUAGCACAGGUGCAGGCUCAUUGGCUACUCUUCCCGGCACAUUAGAAGGAUCAACUCCAGUUCUUGGGGGACCUGACGUAGACCCUUGAAAACCCAUAUUUCUAACAUGGGCAUCAUGAGUUGUCUCUUGGACACUCCCUUUCUGUGAAACAGAAGCUCCAUCUGGGUAAUUACCAGAUCCCAUGUUUGGUCUGUUGACAGCAACCUGCACAUCAUUCUGAGCAGGAAAGUGGGACCCAGCAUUGGUGUACUUUCCUUCAACAGAAACCCCAGGGACGUUUGACCCUUGUGAGACCCCAGCUUGAACUUGUUGCUCGGGAACAUCAGUUUUCUGAACUUGAAGUCUUCCAUUGCCCACACCAGCGGAUGGGGGAGGUGCCUCAGGCUGCUGAAACUGCAAUAAACCAUCUCCGACAUUAACAUCAUUAUAUAGAUCAUCAUACUCAUCAUCUUCUCCCAUCAACUCUUCAUCUGCAAGAGCAGGUAUAGCUCCACCUCCCUGAUACUGCAUCUUUUGAGCCCCUCCAUACUCGUCCUCCUCAUAAUCUAUUUGUUCUUCAGCCAUCGAAUCCAUUUAAGCUGACCAAGUUACAUCAAAAUAAAGAAAUAUUAUCUCUAUUCCUCCCAUGCAGAACUAUGAACAAAGAUAAAAGACCACUCAAAAUUGUUCUGCUUCUCUACAUCAACAGGUUUUAGAGCCAAAGAUCACCAAUAUUAAAGACCAACAUAGCUCAAAUUUAAGCAGAAUGUGAUUCAUAUGUAUAAACACAUAAUCAACACUUAUUAAUACAAAAGAUCCAUCACCCACCAAGGAAUACAUUUAAGAACCAUAAGAAACACGUCACCAUCCAUCCUAUAACAUAAAAAAAAAAAAAAAAAAAAAAAAACACAAAUCUGCAACACCCGCCGGGUAAAAUUACAUGAAUUACACAGAAACCCUACCCACAAGUGCAAAAAUAACAUAAAAAGGACAAAUCUCCAACACCCACUUCAUGAAGUCAAAAGGACACAAAUCCUUAAAAACCUGUCAAAUUACAUCAUCCAGUAAACAAAAAAUUACAUAUACAUUUCACUACAACGAAACUGAAAAACAUCGGAUAAGAAAAAAAAAAUUAACAAAACGCAGAAUCGAAUCGGGUUUUAUUUAGGUACCCUUACUCUUCUCCCCUCUGAAGAUGUAUGUUUUAUUAACCCUUUAGCUUAAAAAACUAACAGCGCUUGAGCAAAUUGUAUUCACCUUUCUCUUGUUCUUUGAUUUCUGUUUGUAACUCUGUUUUCUGCGCUGGUUGUACAGUGAAACCCUUAUGGAUUUGAUUCAGGUUUCGUCUUUCCCAGUCGGGCGAAUGGCCAAAUACGUGAUAUCUUAAGUCUCUAUAGAUUUAAUAUUAGUUAAAUAAAUUUUUAACCAGCCUUCUCGUAAUUUCCAAGAGUUUAUAGUGGAGAGUUUUCACCGAACUAAAUUUCAUGCUAUUUUCAUAUUUUUCAUUUGUGUAAUUAUACAUUUUACUAUCAUAUAAUUUCCUCAAAAUGAAAUAUUUUAUGAAAUAUUAAAAUAAAAAUUUGGAAUACCUAUUAUUAAUAACCAUAGACAUUUUACAUCUUAACAUUUCAACUGAAAUAAUGUGUUGCAUAAAGUUACUAGAUCAUAUAUUUUUAUAUGUAUUAUUAUAUCAUUUACUUCAUUGAUAACACAUCACUUAACAUAAAAUUUUAUUAUACUUAAUACUAUUAAUAUUAUAAAAUUAAAUAUUAUCCCAUUAACUAUUUAUUAUUGUUAUUAUUAUUAUUUUAGAAAUUACAAUUAACUAAGCAUUAGCUUAGUUAAUGGUAAUUAAUAUUUUCAUCCCAUACCUUCCCUACAAUUUAAUUCAAGUGGUUAACUAAAGAAAACAGUGGUUAAGCUCAUAUAAGGAAAAACAAAUUGUCAUGGUUUAUAUGAUUCAAUGUAUUAUUAUUUUAAUUUAAUACUUCUACACAUGGAGAUAACUAAAUUUAAUACUCCUACACGUGGAGAUAACUUUUUUGUAUAUGUCUUAGUAAUGUGAUUGUUUGUAUAUGUCUUAGUAAUGUGAUUGUUACUUAUAUGCAAUAUAAUGUCAUUAGUUAAAAAGUAGGACUAUUUAUACCCUAUAAAAUAUUUUGAACACCCUUUAUUAAAAUUUUAAUAUAAAUUUAUACUUAACACACCCUCUUCACACCGAUGAAAAUAUUUUUCUCACAAAACUAUGUUUCUUUUCCUCAAAAUUGCUAAGUGCGUAAUAGCUUGACAUUAUGCAUACAUAUAAGAGCACACAUACAUAUAAUCAUAUGUUCUUAAAGUUAAUAUUGGCGGGAGGGUAAACUUGAUUUAAAAUUUCAUAAAUGUUAAUGUCCUCAAUCUUAAGCUUUAUGCAUACAAUUAUGAAUAUUUAAUCUCUACUCAUAAAAACUAAAAAGGGAGGAAUAAAGAACAAACAUUUGUAAGUUCUUGACAUUAAUGGUGCGUUUACUUCAUGAGAAUGUGAAUAAUGUGGAAUGGGAAUGGGUUGGAAUGGGAAUGAAAUUUCAAUGACAAAAAUAAAUGGGAAUGGGAAUAUACUGGAAUACCAUUGAUGUGUUUACUUGACAAAAUAAAUGGGAAUGAGGAAUGAGAAUGAGAAUCAAUUUACCAAAAUAUCCAUAGUAUUAAUAAUUAAUAAAAAUAAUUAAUUUAUCAUUAUUAACAAUAUUAUCAUUAUUGUUUUUGUUGUUGUUAUUAUUAUUAUUAUUAUUAUUAUUAAAAAUCAUUAAUAAUAACUAAAAUAAAAAAGUUAAUAAAAUUUAAUAAUAAUAAUAAUAUAAUUAUUAUUAAAUUAUAUUAACUUUAUUAUUUUAGUUAUUAUUAAUUAUUGUUAAUAAUAUUUUUAUUAAUAUUAUCAUUAUUAACAUUUAUUAUUAUUAAAUUUUAUUAACUUUUUUAUUUUAGUUAUUAUUAUUUUUAUUUUUAUUAAUAUUAUCAUUAUUAAAUUUAUUAUUAUUAUUUUUAUUAUUAUUAAAUUUAUUAUUUUAGUUAUUGUUAAUUACUGUUAAUAUUAUUUUUAUUAAUAUUAUCAUUAUUAACAUUUAUUAUUAUUAUUAUUAACUUUAUUAUUUUAGUUACUAUUAAUUAUUGUUAAUAUUAUCAUUAUUAACAUUUAUUAUUAUUAUUAUUAUUAUUAACUUUAUUAUUUUAUUUAUUAUUAAUUAUUGUUAUUACUAUUUUUAUUAAUAUUAUCAUUAUUAACAUUUAUUAUUAUUAUUAUUAUUAUUAUUAUUAUUAUUAUUAACUUUAUUAUUUUAGUUACUAUUAAUUAUUGUUAAUAUUAUCAUCAUUAACAUUUAUUAUUAUUAUUAUUAACUUUAUUUAUUAUUAAUUAUUGUUAUUACUAUUUUUAUUAAUAUUAUCAUUAUUAACAUUUAUCAUUAUUAACAUUUAUUAUUAUUAUUAUUAAAAUUAAAUUUUAUUGAAUUUGUUAUUUUAGUUAUUAUUAUUUUUAAUAAUAAUAAUGAUAAAUGUUAAUAAUGAUAAUAUUAAUAAAAAUAAUAAUAACUAUAAUUAAUAAUAACUAAAAUAAUAAAGUUAAUAAAUUUUAAUAAUAAUAAUAAUAACAACAAUAAGGAUAAUAUUGUUAAUAAUGAUAAAUUAAUUAUUUUUAUUAAUUAUUAUUUUUAUCAUUAUUUUUAUUGUAAAUAAUGAUAAUAUUACUGAUAAUAAUAAUAAUAAUUAAUAAUAACCAAAAUAAUAAAGUUAAUAAAAUUUAAUAAUAAUAAUAAUUAUUAUUAUUAAUGACAUUUAAAAUAAUAUUAUUAUUUGUGAUUUGAAUAAGGGUAAUUUAGGAAAUAUGAAAAAAUUAGAAGGAUAGAAAAAUAAAUUUAUGUUUUAUUAUCAUUCCCAACUCCCCAUGGGAAUGUGAUUCGCAUUCCUUAUUUCAGAUUGUGUGGGACCUACACAUUUUAUUCUCAUUUCCAAAUUACAUUUUGUUAAGUAAACAUAUGUUUCAUUCUCAUUCCUUCAUUCUAAUUCCCCAAACCCAUAAGUAAACACAGCAUAAGAACUUAUUCAGAUGAAUAUUAAUUUUGUCUCACAUUAAUUACAGUCUUUUUUUAUCCGUCUCAUUCCAUAAAACGAAUGGAAAUAUACUACUCCGUUCAAUAAUGCUAUUCCUCACAACUCUACCAACUCCAAUGAAGGAGACAAAGUUAAAUGUGUAAAACGCACUAAAUGCAUGCUUGGAUCAUAAAAGGGAGUUGCUUGAAGCCUUGAACCUGUAAAAUAAGAGUAAUGAUGCAGCAGGAUUUUGUAGCUCUGCUUUUGUAGGAAUCAUGGGACAUGUUGCGAAUAUGAUUGGUGAUGAAUAUUGCAUGGAGAUAAUCACAUAGAUAAAUGUUGUUGAUUCCACAUAGUUUAUCGGUGAUAAUAAAGUUAUAUCAAACUCUAAUAGAAGGGUAUAGUUAAGAAUAAUAUUUUAUUUCAUUGCAUAAGACACUCUUUAGUUAUAAAAUCGAAGUCGAGUGUUCAUAAUAUUUUUUACGAUGUAAAUAGCCCGCCCAUGAUUAAAAAUAUAAAAUUAACAAGGACUUAUAUAAAGAUCUUUAUGUGCAGGUAAAAUAUGAAUAGGACGAGGGAAAGUGAUUAUAAUAAUAUUAUAUCAUAGAAUUUAUAUGUUUACACAUUAAAAAAAAUGGUUGAAUCAUUUAAAUAGAGACUUGGUAACGUAGAAAACUGAAGUAAAAUAACAAGAAUUUUGUUAAAUCAAAGACGAUUUGGUUGGAAUUUGGCAAAGAAAUGGAACCCUAAUUUUUACUAAAAUUAGGCAAAAGAAAGCUUCUUCCCAAUUUGUUAAGUAAAUUCCUAUUUACCAGCUCAGAAUGGCUAUCCUGAGUUUGUGGAAAUAAAGCAACGGGUGUCACCACAAGAUAUGAUGAAUUCCCCUAAUCAAGGACAAACCCAUCACCAUAAAUAAACCCGACAAUCUCUUCCUCAAAUCAUCCCCAGCAUUUGAACGAUCUGCAUUGUUCUCUAUAUUCAGUAGAGAACCUUGCAUAUAAGGGGACAAAAAAUUAAAAAUAAUAAGACGAAAAACACAAACCCCAUCGUACAUGAUGGCUCGCCAGGUCAUUGUUCUUGCUCUCAUUUUUGUAGCCAUUAUCAGUGUGGCCUCAGCCCAGCAGGAACCCAUUAUUCAGCCACAACCCAAUGAACCCCAGCAGCCUAAUCAGCCGCAGGAACCCAAUCAGCCUAACCAACCCCAGGAACCCAAUCAGCCUCAGGAACCCAAGCAGCCUGAUCAGCCACAGACACAGCCACCUACCCAGCAACCACAGCAGCCCCAGCAGCCAAAUCAGGCACCCGGUGAGGCACCAACACAGGCACCUCCAGCCGGUGGUGCACCCGCACCGGCACCCGGAGAAGCCCCAGCAGGAGGCCCAAGCAGUGGACCAGCUGCUGGACCUGGACCUGCAGAAGGCCCCUCUGGCGAGGCUAAGUUGCCUGAGGUUGCAAUGCCAGGACCAGUGGGCGAGGGAGAUGAGAACAAGUCGGAAGGGAGUGGUGCAAGCUCCCUCAAAGUCUCCGCCCUCGUCGCUGGUGUUGCAGUCGCUGCUGCUUUCUUCUACUAAUCAUGAGCAAAUUAGCUACGUCUACAAAACCACGUACCCGAUUGACUAACAUUCGUCGGUUGUCUACCGCAAAGCUCAUUUGAUAUAUGGAUUUGUUUGUCAUUAAAAUUCGAGGUUUUACGUAUCAUGAUGAGUUUUAAAAUAUUGUGGAUUGGAGAUAUUUGGAUCUAUCAUUGGAUAAUUUCUAAGUUUAACCAAUUUUUAUCAUCAUAUGUGCCUGUGGGUGCCUCUUCCGAGUUGAGGCUCGUAUAUAAAAAUAUUAUCCAUUGUUUACGUCCUGCAGGCUGCAUGGCGACUGAUCGAUGCAUGUCUUUAUCUUUGGUCAAUUGCCUUUUGUUCUUUAUGGAAUAGGGUGGUGCUUAAUCCUGAAGAAAUGAAAUUGCUCGCAUUCAAUCACAAUAUUGUCACGAUUUGCUUUAAUUUAAAGAUUUUAUUAAUCCCGCCUAUUUAAAUAAAUAAUAUCCUGGCUUUAAUUUAUUGAGAUGAAAUUAAAACGAGACUUUGGAAUCCCUGAUCAGACGACGAGCGCUUGUUGCAGCAAGCAAUAAUAAAAGGUGGCGAACCAAGUGAAUGAAAUAUAUAUCCGGAUCCCCUGAGUUACAGUUAACGCAACUUACAGGAGCUGCUUUAGUCUUCUCUGAAUUGUCGCCGUAAAAUAUCGUGGAGCCCCUGUACUUUAUAUUAUUGAAAAUUUAUAAAUAUAAGUAGGGUUAUUUUUAAAGACCUCCCCUGAGGUUUAGUGUACUUACAGUCGGAUAGAAAGUAUGCAUGUAAUUAUAGGAACCUCCCCUAACGUUAGUAUUCAAAUACGUAUGGCAUCAGUAUGUAAGGGUAAAUGUGUAAACAUAUAUUUAAAAUUAAAAAAAAAAAUCAAAAGUGAGAUGAUUUUGUUGAUUCGGCUCUUUCACAGCCCUUCAAAGGAGCCAACAUCAUCGGGACCCUCACAGCUCUCAACGCCGAAGUCCGCUGGUGGUCCUGCAAUAUCUUCUCAACCCAAGACCACGUGGCCGCCGCCAUCGCACGUAACUCAGCCUCCGUCUUCGCUUGGAAGGGCGAGACCCUCUAGGAGUGCUGGUGGUGCACAGAGAAAGCUCUGGAUUAGGGUCGCGGCGGCCCAGAUCUCAUCAUUGACGACGGUGGUACGCCACGUUGUUGAUCCACGAGAGGGUCAAAGCUAAGGAGAUCUACGAGAAGACCCGGAAGCUACUCGACCCGGCCUCCACCGACAACGCCGAGUUUCAGAUUGGUUGUACCAGAUGCAAGAAAAUGGAACCCUCUCGUUCCCUACCAUCAAUGUCAAUGACUCUGUCACCAAUAGUAAGGUAAUUUACUUUGAUUUGCUUCAGAUCUCAAAUUUAUUUUAUACUAUCAAUUCAUUAAAUGUUUGAAAUAUUGGAAGAAAUUAAAUACUAAUGUUUGAUAAUGCAAUGGGGGAAACAAUUUGAUGACUUGUAUGGAUGCCGCCACUCGCUCCCAGAUGGUUUGAUGAGAGGUUUUGAUGUUAUGAUUGCCGGAAAGGUUGCUGUUGUUUGCGGUUAUGGUGAUGUUAGCAAUGGUUGUGCUGCUACUUUGAAGCAAGCCGGUGCAUGUGUAAUUGUAACUGAGAUUGAUCUGUACUAGGAAGUUAGGUUUAAAUUUCGUAGGAGUGUGUGUUUGGGUGGUGGGAAAGUUGAAGGAAAGAAAUAGAUUGGUUUCAGUUGAUUGAAGACCAUUUGGGAUUUGAAUAAGGUUAUGGAUGGAGCUGUGUGGAUCAUUUUGUAUUUGAUGCAGUUUUAAAGUUUUGCUUGCUUUGCUGCAUCUUGUUAUCCUAUUAUUUACUUAUGAAUGAUUAAAAAAAUUUUGUUUGGAGGUCAAGAAAAAACGAGAGAAAAUUUCAAUGAAAACGGAGAAUCAGUCUAAAAAAUAACUUAUCAUUUUGAGGAGAAGGGUACUUUUGUAAUUUUAACGGUCUACUAACAGUCAAACUAACUGGAUACUAACGUCAGGGGAGGUGCUUGUAAUUACGUGGAUACUUUCUAUCUAACUGUAAAUACACUAAACCUCAGGGGAGGUCCCUAAAAAUAACCCAAUAUAAGUAUUACGAAACUUUCUGUAUUGUAAAAUUUUGUUCAGACUCUUGCACUCUAUUUUAUUUCAUUGAAACCUUCAGAGUAUCAAAUUCAUCCCCUAUAAUUUUUAAAUUCUCAAAAUACCCUUCAUUUAAGUAAAAUAUCAUUAUUAUUAAAUGGAUUAUAGUUAUAAUUACAAUUAAAAUAAUUAUUUUAUUAUAAUUAUAAUUAUAAUUUUUAAAUGGAUUAUUAUAAUUAUUAUUAAUAACAAUAAUAAAAAGUUAUAAUUAAUUAAUCUAUUAACAAUAAUUAAUAAUAAUUUUUAUUUAAAUUGUUAAUAAUAAUAAUUAACAAUAAUUGUUAUGAAUAAUUAAUUUUUGAAUAAUAAUAAUCACAAUAAUUAAAAUAUAAAAUAAUAAUUAUGAUAAAAAUUAAUUAAGGAUUUUAUAAUAACCUUCAAGGAUAUUAAUCAUCGACAAAAUUUUUAAGGAUAUUAUCAUUCAUCUUCUUUAUAAUAUCAUCUCAUAAUAAUUAAUAUUUUCAUGAUAAAAGGAUUAACAAAAUAAAAAGUAAAUUUCCUUUGAAUUCAUCCAUUUCCACUAUUAACUUCUUUUCAUAAGCAACCUUCAUUGAUAAUUGAAGCCAUCAUUAGACUCAUCAUAGAGAAAGAGAGUGAGAGUGCGGAAGAAGAAAUGGGGAAAAAAAUGAAAUGUUUACAAUUUUAUAGUGUAUUCACUAAACAAUAAUCAAAAUUAGCUGGAAACAUAAUGAGUUAGAAUCGAAAUGAGAAAUUGGAAUCAGAAUAAUUUAUUUACUUGAAUUGCAAGAAUCGUAAUUACAAUGAGCUAUAUUACUAUUUAUAUGUUUUACUUUGUUUUAGAAUCAAAAUCGGAAUGAGUUAAAUUGUAACAAAUUAAUAUAAACAAAUCCUUAAUUAAUUUUUAUUGUAAUUAUUAUUUUGUAUUUUAAUUAUUGUGAUUAUUAUUAUUAUUCAAAAAUUAAUUAAUAAUAAUAAUUAUUGUUAAUUAUUAUUAUUAUUAACAAUUUAACUAGAAAAUUAUUAUUAAUUAUUGUUAAUAGAUUAAUUAAUUAAUUAUAAUACUUUAUUAUUAUUGUUAUUAGGGAUAUUAUCAUUUUCCCACCUAAGGUAUUCUGACACAUCAUGUCAGUACCACGGUUUGGUAAAACUAUCAAUUUACCACCAAACGUUUAAACUGUUAGCAUUUUCCCACCAUUCCGUUAAAACUCAUUUAAUAUGUAACGGAAAAUUUCUAAAAGGUCAAUUUUACCCCUGGAGUAUAAAAAACCAUGUAAUUAACCUUUUAUGAAUUUUGUAAUUAAAUCAUCAUUUGUUGUUCUUCAUUCUUAAAGGACAAAAAUUACCAUUUAUGAAUUUUGUAAAAUUGACCAUGUGGUAUUAGGUACUUCAUAAAUUGAUUUAAUUGAUUUAAUUUUUAAAGGGCAAAUUUAUUUAUUUAAUUUUUUGUGUAAAAUUAUUAUCAUCAUAUCAAAGAUUAAAUUGCUUCUUUUGCACAUUCUUUUUUUUUUCCCUUUCAUAAAUUGAUGUUUAGUAGUAGAAUAAAUUGUCUUUAGCUCGACAAUUUAAUAAAUAAAUUUGACCUUUAAAAAUUAAAUAAAUUAAAUCAAUUUAUAAAAGUACCUAGCACCACAUGGUCAAUUUUAUAAAAUUUAUAAGGGGUAAUUUUUGUCCUUUAAAAAGGAAGAACAACAAAUGAUAAUUUAAUUACAAAAUUCAUAAAAGGUUAAUUACAUGGUCUUUUACACUUCAGGGGUAAAAUUGACCUUUUAUGAAUUUUCUGUUACAUAUUAACGGAGUUUUAACGGAAUGGUGGGAAAAUGCUAACAGUUUAAACGUUUGGUGGUAAAUUGAUAGUUUUACCAAACCGUGGUACUGACAUGAUGUGUCAGAAUACCUUUGGUGGGAAAAUGAUAAUAUCCAUUGUUAUUAAUAAUUAUUAUAAUAAUCCAAUUAAAAAUUAUAAUUAUAUUUAUAAUUACAGUUAGGGGUGGGCGUUUGGAUCGGGUUAACCUGAACCGAACGAAACCCGAAAUUUUAUUUUGGUCUCGGUUUGGUUUGUGUUAACUAUAAAAAUCCAAAUGGAUUCAAAUUUCCAACCGGUUCGGCUUGGAUUUCGGUUCGGGUUGAACCCGAAUCGAAAUCGAGACCAGAUCGGGUUAAUUGAAAAAAAUAAAUAAAUAAAACUUAGAACACCAAAAAAUCAAAACCCUUAUUUCCUCUUUUCUCUUCUUUGCACUCCACAUCGAGACAAGCACAACCUCAACCCCAGCACACUCACAAUCUCACUCACAAACACCACCGGUGUCAAUUCAACUCAGUUAAGGUGCAUCAGCGUUGCAAUUUUAGAUUCAGAUGCUGCCUCCUUCUUCGUUUCAGAUCUAGUAUUCUUGGGCCCUUCGCUUUAGAUCUAGUCGUUGCCUCCUUCUUCGUUCGUAGUCGUCAGGAGCACAAGGUGAUGUUAAUGUCGAUGAUGUUUACGAUUCCGAUGAUGUUAUUUUUAGUGAUGUUUGCAUUUCGCUGCCUCCUUCUUCGUUAUUGUUAAUUGAAUGUAUAUUUUUGGAAGGAUUUGGUUUUCGGGACUUGGCAAACAAAUCCAAUCUCAGGUUCUAUUCCUCUGUUGAUACCCGUUUGCACUUAUCCAUUAGAAUUUUAUUAUGACGUUGCAACUCUCUGCGUAGCAACUGUAGUUUGUCUUUAACAGGAAUGGCUGCAUCUAUUUCAGCAAGAACUUGUAGGGUUGGCAAAAACCCGGGUCCGGUCCAGGUUUGGCCAUGCCCGGGACUGGACCGGAUCAAUAAAACAGCUGCCCGAACCGGGAUUGUGCCCGAUUUUUUCACAUCCAAUCCAGGUCAGGCCCGACACCUCCCGAGCACGGGUUUUUUAUCCGGGCUUUCUCUGCCCAGAUAAAUUACUGGUUUGCUGUAGUUAUUAAAGAUUCCAAUGAAAUCAACCUUGCAAAUCAUUCCAUUUACGGCAAAUCAAUUCCAAAACCAGCCAAUCUUAAAAUGCAAAAGUUUGAUAUCCAUGGAGCAAUGUUUGUGGUUCUUUGCCAAAAGAAUAGCCUGAAAAACGUGAGUCGAUGAUCUGCACUGCGUGGGUUCGAGUGGCUGGGUUCGCGUCGCGUGGGUUCGAGUGGCUGGUGCUAGGUUUACUGCUGGCUACUGCUGAGGUGGCUUCAUGCAUCGUGGCGGUGUGCUGGCCGGGUUUGUUGGAGGCUGCUGCUGCGGUGAUUUCACGUGGCUGCUGGGUUCGUAAAUCGCUACUUUACUGUUGGUGGUUGUGCUCGUGGCUGCUGGAUUCGGCGAUGAUUGGUCGUGGGUGCUAUUGUCGUGCUGGUUUUGAUCGGUUAGGUGAUGGCUGCUUGAGAGAUGUGUAAGAAGUGCAUACUGCACAGCAUUUAAUUUUAGAUAUUUUUUUAAAGGAGAAAUGCAAAUUAUGAAGAAAUUUGUGCUAUUAGAAUGAAAAAAAAAAUGAACUAAUUUGCAGAUUUUUUAUUUGAAAAGGAUUCAUGCUAGAGAAAGCCAAAAGUAAAGAAAAAGAAAAGAAGAAAAAAAAAAGAACCAUAGUCAUAUAACAGCAUGUGAGGGCUAUCAAAUGGUGCUUAAAGCACUCAAGAGUCAAGAUCUAAGCCAAGUGGUGGUCAAAGCACUCAAGAGCCAAGAGCUUGAGUGCUUUUGCUUUUUGCAAUCAGAUGAUGAUUUUGCAGGAUGUAUAAGACGUUUUUGCAAUCAGUGCUAGCUUGGAGUGUUUGCUGGGGGGGUGUUUGCUUUUUGCAGUUGGCAGCUUGUGUUUCCUUGGAAUGUUGAGUGGUGGCCGCUAGCUUGGAGUGUUGGAGAGCUGGAUGUGCGGCAGCCGGCAGUAGUGCUUGUGUUUGCAUACGAAUAAGAUAGAAAAUUACGGUAAGUUUCAAUUUUGGGUGUAUUACAUUUAUAUAUAUAUAUUUUAACUUAUCAAAACCCGGGCACGGAUCCGGGUUCCGAGUUUUUGGUGCCACAACCGGAACCGGACCUGGAAGUAUCCGGGUUUUAAACUUCAAUAACUGGACCCGUAUUAUUUGUAUAUGCGGUCCGGGUUUUGCCCGGACCUGAUUGGCCGGUUCCGGGCGGGUUUUAUUGCCACCCCUAAGAACUUGCCGAUAUACAUUCUAGAUUAUGCAUAUUUGCUUAACAUCAAUUACGAUUGGCCUUGAUAUGUGCUCCAAACUCUUGCAUAUAUAGAAUUGAACUUUAUUUUUAUUCUGAUUUAAGAUUUAAGAUUUGAGAAUUUAAAAUUUUAGUUGGUUAAUGACGAAUGUUUGGACAAUCAAACUAUUAUAACCCGAUUUCAACCCAAACCCAAAUUUCGAUCUGAAUUACUAACCCAAACCGAACCGAAAUAAUUUCGAUUCGGUUUAGUUUAGGUUUGUCUUUUGAACCCGAUUGGGUUGAAACCCAAACCGAAAUCCAAACAACCGAACUGAAACCUAAUUUGCCCACCCUUAAUUACAGUAAAAUAAUUAUUAUAAUUAUAAUUAUAAUCCAUUUAAUAAUUAUUAUAUUUUAUUUACAUGGAGGGUAUUUUGGGAAUUUAAAAAUUAUAGGGGAUGAAUAAUGAAUUUCAUACUCUAAGGGUUUCAAUGAAAUAAUAUAGAGUGUAAGACGCUGAACGAAAUUUUACAAUACAAAAAGUUUCACAAUACUUAUUAAUAAAUUGUGAAUAAUAUAAAGUGCAAGGGGCUCAGAGAUAUUUUACAGUAACAUUUCAGCAAACAGAGAAACAGCGGCAAGUUACGUUAACUGUAACAUGGGGAAUCCGAUCCGGAUCCAUAUAGGGGGAUCCUAUAAGGAUAUAUUGACAACCUAAGUUCGUAUCCGAGGAUAAGUACAGAUCCUUGAGGGCAAUAACAGACGGCAAUUAAACUUUGCGUUUCCUUCAAAUAUUCGAUAUUCCUCCAUACAUCCGGUGUCUUAUAAACGGGACGAAUUUCGUCGCCGUAGCCGGUAAGUGCUAAAAGUUAAAAGGUUUUCAGAAUUAUAUACCGCUGCCUUCUCCAACUUGCUGAGCUUUCAGCUUUGCACUCUUGAAUUCUGAAUACGACAUUAAUUUUUGUAAUUAGACAGACAUUAACAUUUAACCGGCCCGGCCGGGAACUUCAAGUUGUUAAAUAUGACAUGAACAUUCAGUAUCGGGAACCACGUUGUGUAUAAAGUAAAGAAAAUGCACAAGAAAAUCUUUCAACAUCAUCAAAUCGAGGGCCAGUGCACAACGCUGGCAUUUGCAUUGAGCUUUCUGAAACUGAAACUGAAACUGAAACAGUAACAGCACAGAUUGGCUGAUAAAAUACAUAACUAUAAAUUAUGGAGAUAAAAUUUUUGGAAUUAAAAAAGAUUCCUGAAGUGGCAGAUUAAACUGGAGGAUUGGUCAUCAGAUAGAUGGAACAGACGCGUACACUACACAGGCAGUUGGAAAUAUUUAUACAUGGAACUAACAAGAAUCAGUCAUACCCAACUCCUAAAUUACAUGACAAAACUAAAGAUUCACAAAGCAGAACUGGAUGAAGCGAGUGAUCUUGUAAAAGAAUACAAAAGCCAAGAAUAAUGCACGAGAGAGCAUGCCAUGCUAAGUAAAAAUUGCAGCUGCCAGUGUGGGGAAAGGCAGCUUUCCACAUUAAGCAAGUAGAAACCCUCGGAACAACAUAGUCAGGUGGGUAUCUGAGAUUAUGCCUCCUUAAAACUCAUAAUCUCAUUCCUCAGACAGGAAACCUAAUGUACAUUUGAGCAGAACAUUUCAAACCCUCUCCAUAAACCACAAAACUUUCAUCCCUAAUCACUUUUCUGGUAUACAAAAACAGAGACAAUGAUCAAUCUAUCAAUAAAAAUCCAUCGAAAGAAACGGUACAAAUGAAAAUCAAAUCUGAUUACAACAAAUUCAUACUGCAUGACAGAGGAAAUGUACAUGGAAUGUGGCAUCAUGCCUUCACCUGCAACAUUCUCAAAACAACCAAAACUCUCAGUUCCAGCCCAAUAGAAUGAUGCAGAAGUCCACAAUUUACGACUCCCAUGUGCAGGUAAACCUCACAACUUACAUAGACAAUAAUAAUAAUAAAGGUUAAAAAAAAAGGCACACUUCCAAUGUUCCUUUAUCUUUUAUGUAGAAAAUACAACUAGUUCUACACAUGUUACAAUAAUCAAUUACAAGUGAAACAAUUCCAGGUUACAAAUUACUAAAAGCUCAUCACUGACUAUCCUAAAUCAGUUACACUGCAUCAAAUGUAAACACAAUUGUGCCUCAAAGUCAGUACAACAGUCUUACAAGCUCACAGCGAGCCACAAAUAGUCAAAUAAAUAAUGAAAGAGGCCUUUACAUGUGAUGGACCUAAUACAUGUAACUCAAUUUUACAGAAACAUGAGAUGAUGCUUUACAAAAUGGUAUAUAAACCUAUUAAACAAAAUCCUUUCCAUUUUUUGACAAUUUCAUGGCUUCAACUAUUUCUAGGCAUUCUCUUCCAGGAGAGCAGUUCACACAUUCUUAAGGGCCGCUCGAGGGGGCAAAAAAGUGAAAGCCAAAAUUGUCAAGGCUUGUUUGCACACUUGACAGACCAAAGCCAAUAUUUGAGAAAGCGAAUGAAUGCAGCCCAUCAAACACAUCUUCCUUGGUUGCUACUCCACUCCCUGAAUAUGGUGAUAAAAAGAAAGCCCCCAUGUCAAUAGACUUGGAAAAAGAAAACCUACCAGCCAAAGAGGCCACUAAACUUUCCUCAAAGAGCACUACAUGAUUUUAGUACCAUAUUCCUACAAUCAAUGAAUCAAUCACAAUCACCCAUGACUGGGGACCUCAUGUAAGUCCUACAUGAUAAACAGCCCAGAUUUCACAACAGGGAAGUAAAGCCCUUAACUGGAAGGUGUUUUGCUCUCUUUGAUCAGAUAACAUAUCAAACUCAAGUACGUCCAAAUCCACCCAUUCAUAACAAAAGUCUAAGGGAAUCACACUUCUACAAAACACAAAUACAUUAUUUGCCAUGUGACUUUACUAAAACUACCGUACCCGGCUGAAACUCACAACACCAGAUAUGACAACUUUUCAUUCUAGGAUAAACCAUAAUAAAAUAAUAUCAUACACUAGAAAUUAGGGAAAACAUUCUAUUAUACUAGUUACCACCAAAAUAACGGAACUUCUAAAAUAUAUAAUGAUUUGGAAGAUAGUUCUUUUAUGGCUAAAAUAGUGUUUUGGAAGAAGAAACAAAAGUUCAAAUAGCUGUUUUAAUAUUUAAAAGUAUAUUGAUCUUCAAGAGAACUAAUCAAAUUAAAAUAACUAAUUGAAACUUCAAAGAACAAUCACAAACGAUUAGUAGAAAGAAAAAGAAAGAGGGAAGCAAGAAAAGAAAGCAGCCAACCAUGCCUUCAAGAAAAGCUUCUCUCUCUCUCUCUCUCAUUUUUCUUUGUGAUUUUUUUUCUUCUUUUCGAGUAAAACCAAAAAGAUUGUAUCCGAAGGACAAGAAAAAGAUAUAAAAAAAUUCAAAAAGGUGAACAAGCAAUCCACUGAACCAGCAAACGAAUCAAACAAAACAACCAAACAAAAACAGAAGCACCAAAAAUCAAACACUACUCACGACUUCAAGAAAAGCUUUCAGAAACAGAUUCUUAGUUGACAUUCACUAAGAUACGAAAGAGAAGAUUGGAAGCCAUUUACUAGACCAACAACUCCAAAAAUUGGCCAUCAUAUCCACUUAUCCUUACCCCCAAUUCCAAGCGAAAAAACCUAAAAGAAUUUAACAUUCCAAGUAAUCCACCAGUCCAUAAGCAUAAGCAGCACCACACAUACAUUGUGGAUAUAAUUCAAAAUGGGAGGAUGAAUAACAUAGACUUUAAUAAAUAGUUACGAUGCCCUAGCAAUAUUUGAAACAUUGCUAGUAUGACUUGCUGAUCAAAUAAAACUCACUUGAAAAGAAAAUAAUAAAGGCAUGCUACAUAUCAGCUGUUGCUUCUUCUGAGGAAGGUCAAUUUGAUGGGAAGAUACAAAGACCACAUAUUAAACAUUGUCAAGUCCGAGAGAAACCCCUGAAGUAGGACUUCAUUUUCUAAGACAAGACUAAGAAUCCUUAAUUAGUUGACCAUCACCACUUUGGCCAGCACUUUACCCCUUAUGGGCCGACCCGGUGCGAGCGGGGAUUAGUCUGGGUUGUGGUACGGGCUUAAAGGUGCCUCCCACAGUUGGGGCCCACUCAGGACCACCUCGUGGUUCAGACAAAAAAAAAAAAACUAUUCUAAUAAAAGACAGAUGAAUUCUAAUUCCAAAUUCAAAUCUAAAUGUCAUUUGAAGUGAUACAAAGGACCCAGAAGGCAGAAGGACACAGCUAUCACAUGCAUCAGUUUAAAUAUUAAAGUCAUGCACUGACUCAGACUUACGAGCACCCUUUAAAUACAAUCCCAAUAAAAAUAAUGGGUUGGCAUGGAAAAAAAACCAUAUUCUAUAAUCAACUAUAAAAAAACCAUAUUCUAUAAUCAACAACUACGAGAAGACACAGGUGUAGAAAGCAAUAUGGACAACUAAUUCAAACUAUGAUAUAAUUAGAGUAGGCUUUGUAACAUGUGACCAGAAGCCCCAAAACCAUUGUCUCAGAAAUAGAUUCAGUAGAAUAAAUAUAAAGCCAUUGGGAUACUCGGCAAGGAUAUCAAGAGUCCAACCCUAGAUAGAAUAUCCCCAUUGGCAUGCAACUCAAAGUCACUCAUCAUUUUUUAACAAACAAAUAAGUGUUGGCAGUAACGUUUAUAGAAUGCAGUACGAAAGAACAGAGAAUCUAUGCUUCCCUUCUACAAAUAUGAGAACUUACUUUUCCCUCAAGAAACCACUCUGCAUUUAGGCCACAGUAACCAGGAAAAGCGAUAGGUAGAAGCAUUGUAACAACCCAAGAGCAAUACAGUAAGAUAUAGAGAAUAUGAGGUCUUGUAUGACAUGCCACGGAAGAAUGAAAAGCGUGACUCUGUCACUCUGAUGGUAGCCGUCUCCUCUUCCCAUAGUCCACAUCUCUCGAUCGAGAUCUGUGGUCUUCAUCUGGGAUUACUCCGGACCUGCUCCGAGAUCUUGAAGACGAUUGCCCCUUGUCCCAGUUGUCAUCAUAAGUUGAGUCACGAUCUCUUUGUCGACGAUCACGAUAACUAUCUUUUUCUUCCCUGUGUCUGUGAUCUCUGUGAUCCCUUUCAGAUCUGUCCCAGUCUUGUUCCCUCUCCUCUCGGUGCCUCCUAUCUGUGUUCCCAGACCAGUCACGCUCAGAACCACGAUCCUUUUCCCGGGAGGCAGCAGUUGACCUUGCUCCUUUUUCAUGACUUGCCUCCCCAUACCCAUAAUCAGAAGCACCAUCAUCACCACCAUAACUUGACUCCCUUGUCCUUCGUCCAUAUUCCUCUCCUACCCAUCCACCCAUGCUUGAGUCAGUCCACAUCCCUGGAUGCGGUCCAUCCAUUCCAGAAGAACCCAUCAUACCCAUCCCAUUAGCUGCCAUUCCUCGGUUAAAGAAUGCUGGGUUGACAUGAGGAGCCACCCCAGCAAGGCCCAUUGCAUUAACAGCAGGAAAUGAAGGAAGCAUACCAGGAAAACCUGGACCCGAAAAACCUCCAUAACCACCUCCUCGACCCAUGUAUGUUGGAUCAAACCCUCCCAUCAUAUUCUGUGGAUGCAUCAUACCACCUGCAGGACCCCCAAAGCCAGGACCUGCAAGGCCUUGUCCAUAACCUCCACCAGCAGCAGGUCCAGCACCGCUUCCAGCUCCAGAACUACUCCCAAUCAUGUUCCUUGCACCCAUGGGCCCUCUUCCCCUCAUCGCUCCACCACCAGGACCUCUGUUGGGUACACCCUGCCCACCUCGUCCCCAGCCGCCCCUUCCAAAAUUCCUACCUCCAUCACCACUCUGAUAAUUCGUGUUACCACCUCUCCCACCACCGUCGUUCAUAGGUCUGCUUCCCUGAUUCUGUGACUGAGGCUGGCCUUGGUUUUUGUUCAUGUAAGAAGCUCCCAUCUGUUUCAAUGUUUGAGGAGAAGCAAAAGCCACAACACAUGGUCGUCCAUUGAAAACAUGACCAUUCAUUCCAUCUUUGCACGCAGCUGCAGCAGCUGCAUCAAAGAAUUCGACUUGGCAAUAACCUUUGGAUUUACCACUAGCUCUCUCAUCAAAAAACUUAAUCUCCUUGGCCCUUCCAUACUGAGACAAAACACUUUCAAGCUCCGCAUCAGUUGUCCACCAAUGUAAUUCUCCCACAAACAGCAUUGUCCCACCAUUCUCUAGAGGAGGCCGGAUUUGAUUCUCAUUCACCAUUACACGAUUGACAUUUGCAUUUACACCCAUUUGAUUAGCUGGAAUCAGAGCACCUUGAGGACCAGCAGCACCGGGAUUUAGCACAGGUGCAGGCUCAUUGGCUGCUCUUCCCGGCAGAUUAGAAGGAUCAACUCCAGUUCUUGGGGGACCUGACGUAGACCCUUGAAAACCCAUAUUUCUAACAUGGGCAUCAUGAGUUGUCUCUUGGACACUCCCUUUCUGUGAAACAGAAGCUCCAUCUGGGUAAUUACCAGAUCCCAUGUUUGGUCUGUUGACAGCAACCUGCACAUCAUUUUGAGCAGGAAAGUGGGACCCAGCAUUGGUGUACUUUCCUUCAACAGAAACCCCAGGGAUGUUUGACCCUUGUGAACCCCCAACUUGAACUCGUUGCUCGGGAACAUCAGUUUUCUUAACUUGAAGUCUUCCAUUGCCCACACCAGCGGAUGGGGGAGGUGCCUCAGGCUGCUGAAACUGCAAUAAACCAUCUCCGACAUUAACAUCAUUAUAUAGAUCAUCAUACUCAUCAUCUUCUCCCAUCAACUCUUCAUCUGCAAGAGCAGGUAUAGCUCCACCUCCCUGAUACUGCAUCUUUUGAGCCCCUCCAUACUCGUCCUCCUCAUAAUCUAUUUGUUCUUCAGCCAUCGAAUGCACUUAAGCUGACCAAGUUAUAUCAAAAUAAAGAAAUAUUAUCUCUAUUCCUCCCAUGCAGAACUAUGAACAAAGAUAAAAGACCAUUCAAAAUUGUUCUGCUUCUCUACAUCAACAGGUUUUAGAGCCAAAGAUCACCCAUAUUAAAGACUAACAUAGCUCAAAUUUAAGCAGAAUGUGAUUCAUAUGUAUAAACACAUAAUCAAUACUUAUUAAUACAAAAGAUUCACUACCCACCAAGGAAUACAUUUAAGAACCAUAAGAAACACUUCACCAUCCAUCCCAUAACAUCACAAAAAAACACAAAUCUGCAACACCCGCCUGGUAAAAUUACAUGAAUUACACAGAAACCCUACCCACAAGUGCAAAAAUAACAUAAAUAGGACAAAUCUCCAACACCCACUUCAUAAAGUCAAAAGGACACAAAUCCUUAAAAACCUUUCAAAUUACAUCAUACAGUAAACAAAAAAUUACAUAUAUAUUUCCCUAAAAUGAAACUGAAGAACAUCCGGAUAAGAAAAAAUAAUAAUAAUAAAACGCAGAAUCGAAUCGGGUUUUAUUUAGGUACCCUUACUCUUAUCCCCUCUGAAGAUGUGUGUUUUAUUAACCCUUUAGCUUAAAAAACUAACAGCGCUUGAGCAAAUUGUAUUCACCUUUCUCUUGUUCUUUGAUUUCUGUUUGUAGCUUUGCUUUCUGCGCUGGUUGCACAGUGAAACCCUUAUGGAUUUGAUUCAGGUUUCGUCUUUCCCAGUCGGGCGAAUGGCCAAUUACAUGAUAUCUCAAGUCCCUAUAGAUUUAAUUUAAUAUUAGUUAAAUAAAUUUUUAACCAGGCUUCUCGUAAUUUCUAAGAUUUUAUAAUGGAGAGUUUUUGCCGAACUCAAUUUCAUGCUAUUUUCAUAUUUUUCAUUUGUGUAAUUACACAUUUUACUAGCAUAUAAUUUCCUCAAAAUGAAAUAUUUUAUGACAUUAGAAAAUAAAAUUUUGGAAUAUAGACUUUUUACAUCUUAACAUUUCAACUCAAAUAAUGUAUUACAUAAAGUUAUUAAAUCAUUAACUUUUAUAUGUAUUAUUAUAACAUUUACUUGAUUGAUAACACGUCACUUAACAUAAAAUUUUAUGUUGCUUAGUACUAUUAAUAUUUUAAAUUAAAUAUUAUCCCAUUAACUAAUUAUUAUUAUUAUUAACUAAGCAUUAACUCUUAGACAUUUUCACUUAGGAAGUUUGUUUGAUUUGUCUCGUGUUGAACGAACAGUCCAAUAGUAGUAAAGAACAAAAAUAACAUUAAAUAAAUAAAUCUUACCAUACCAAUGGGCCUUUACUCAAAUGUGACAAGUCUUACAUUUACAAUGUUGAGUGCAAGAGUUCGAGUCUCUAUAAGAGCAUUAUGGAGGUUAGUUUCAGUAUUCCCUCAAUUAUCAACUAAUUGAAUAGAGACAGUUUCUCCCUUAUGAAAUGUGAAUGAAGUAGGCACCCAUCGAAUAUUGUAGAGGGUUUAAAGUAUUUGGUCAAGUACUUCAGUGAGUUAAUAUAAUGUGAAUGGAGUAGGCAUCCCUUGAAAUAUUAUAAUUGUAAUAUCUGAUGAAAUAUCAACUAAUUGAGUGGAGACUGUCUCUCCCUUACGAAAUGUGAAUGGAGUAGGUACCCCUCGAAUAUUAUAGAGUGUUUAAAGUAUUUAGGCACCCCUUGAAAUAUUAUAAUUGUAAUGUCUGAUGAAAUAUCAACUAAUUGAGUGGAGACAGUCCCUCCCUUACGAAAUGUGAAUGGAGUAGAGACAGUCUCUCCCUUACGAAAUGUGAAUGAAGUAGGCACCCAUUGAAUAUUGUAGAGGGUUUAAAGUAUUUGGUCAAGUACUUCAGUGAGUUAAUAUAAUGUGAAUGGAGUAGGCAUCCCUUGAAAUAUUAUAAUUGUAAUAUCUGAUGAAAUAUCAACUAAUUGAGUGGAGACUGUCUCUCCCUUACGAAAUGUGAAUGGAGUAGGCACCCCUCGAAUAUUAUAGAGUGUUUAAAGUAUUUAGGCACCCCUUGAAAUAUUAUAAUUGUAAUGUCUGAUGAAAUAUCAACUAAUUGAGUGGAGACAGUCCCUCCCUUACGAAAUGUGAAUGGAGUAUAGACAGUCUCUCCCUUACGAAAUGUGAAUGAAGUAGGCACCCAUCGAAUAUUGUAGAGGGUUUAAAGUAUUUGGUCAAGUACUUCAGUGAGUUAAUAUAAUGUGAAUGGAGUAGGCAUCCCUUGAAAUAUUAUAAUUGUAAUAUCUGAUGAAAUAUCAACUAAUUGAGUGGAGACUGUCUCUCCCUUACGAAAUGUGAAUGGAGUAGGUACCCCUCGAAUAUUAUAGAGUGUUUAAAGUAUUUAGGCACCCCUUGAAAUAUUGUAAUUGUAAUGUCUGAUGAAAUAUCAACUAAUUGAGUGGAGACAGUCUCUCCCUUACGAAAUGUGAAUGGAGUAGGCACCCCUCGAAUAUUAUAGCGGGUUUAAAGUAUUUGGGCAAGUAUUUCAGUAAGUUAAUAUAAUGUGAAUGGAGUAGGUACCCCUUGAAAUAUUGUAAUUAUAAUAUAUGAUAAAAUAUCAGUAAUAAUCUAUGUAUAACAAAAUUAAAAAAAAAAAUCUUACCAUAAAGAUUGAGGACAAGAGAUAAAGCCAAAAGGGUAGUAAAGUUAUUUAGGAUGUGAUGAUAGCGAUGUAUCAUGUCUAUAAUGUACUGUCCAGAAUUGUGUUAAUAAUAAGAUUGACAAGGGGUAUUAUAUUAUAUUAGGAAAAAUUAACAAAGUUUCCGCCUUCUAAUUGGAUAAUAGGUAACCAAAUUUCUAUUCACUUAUUUAUUUUCCAAUGUUGCCCUUCAACUUUAAAGUCUGAAUUUGGAUUAUGAAGAUCUUAAAAUAAAAUGCUUCUCUUGGUCUUUUUAUUCAGUCAAGUCGAUGAAAGAAGGCAGGAGACUUGCAGAGUGACAUUGAAAUACUGACAAAUGUGGAUGAGAAAUAAAAGCCCUUCGCACGUGUAGAUGGGGCUUUUUUUCCCACGAGUUUCUAAUUGUAAGUUACACGACAAAUGUCGGUGCGAAAUAAAUCAUGUCAUGAUGCCUCUCUUUCUCGCUUUUAACAUUUUCGGGAAAAUUCUAUAAAUAACUUAAAAGUCAAUUUCAAAAAGUAUUUAAUUCACCCAUUUUUUUUCAGUAAUAAAAAAAUAGCAAUAAGGUUGUCAAAUUAUAUAGGCAAUCCACAUGUCAAUCGCCUGUUGAUUAGCCGUGGGUUGGAUUUUUUACUUCUUGAUUGGUUUUUCAUCGUUCAUGAUAAGUUAUUAAAGGAUUAAUCAUUGUCCAAUUUUUGUUUAUAAGUAGACUACUUCUAUACUUAUAUAUAACUUUAAGAUCCCACUACCUUACAAUUAAUGUAUGGUACAUCCCUCACAUAAACAGUGAAUGGAUCCUAUUCAUACACUAUUUAUAAGUGAAGAAUGUAUUAUAUAUUGAUUGUAAGGUAGUGUUUACCAUAACUUUAAGGAGUCCAACUUUAAUAUGUCAAGGAUACCAUAUUCGACAAUCUAAACAAAGUUAAAUAGUUAAAAAAAAUUAAUAAAAAUCAACAAUAUGAGAGCAUUUAAAAUUAUUCAGAUUGUGAGAUACGACGUCUUUAAGCCAAAGCUACUUUCAUAAAUUUCCUAAGUGCAGAUACGAAGACAGAAAAGAAAUUGGACACAAGCUUCUCACCUAUAUCGAUCAGAGUCCCACCUUCAGGUAGGUAAAUGUCUGGUUUAAGUAACCUCUUUUUUUCCCCAAAGGAUUAGUUUUAGGUAACUUGAAACAUCUAUCUUACAAAAGCAUAAUUUUCCCAUUUGUUUUUGUAACAAAACUCCAUCCUAAACGGUGAUGUGAGCUUAAAAUUGGUAUUGUCAGGAGCGAUGCAACCACCCGUAAGACAUAAGUUUCAGCUUUGUAAAAUCAUAACUGUACAAUCAUAAUUGGCACAUAAAUCUUUACCAACCAUAAAGCUCCAGCUGCAUAUGGUGCUACAUUAACCUGGGCUAGAUAUGUAAUCCAUAGCAAUUGCGAUUUCUAAAAAUAAUAAUCAUUAUACAAGUUUCCUCUUUCCUGAAUGAUUAAUGUACAGAACAUGUACCUCAAAAAGAAUUUAAACCGAGGGAAUUCACAUAAACAAAUUUCUAACUCAAAGUACUACUUCAAUUACUCCAAACAAUAUCACCUAAACUUCCUACCUCAAAAUGUACUUGGUGAAAUAAUCUCUCCCAACCAAAAGGAAAAAAAGGGGUAAAAAUAAAAAAAAUUAUCCAUCCUUCCAAGCUGAAUACUUCAUAUGCAAUUUCAGCUCAGUCCCGGUUUACCAAUUUGAUAAUUCUCGUGUUCCGAAAGUGCCAGCAGGGCUUACCCCUUCCUACCAUUCAAUGAAGAAAUCCCGGUCUACCCCUUAUCAAAGAAUCAACACAGGAAAUCCAUUUUUCUUUUUCUCUCAACUGAGCAGCAUCUAAACUGAACACUUUUUACCAUGAGUACAUGUUAACACCCAGCAAAGAUGUGAGGAGUGACAUCAGCAUAGGUUUGAGGCAACUCAUGUAACCACAUAAGGAAAUGCUUUCAGUCUCCUAAACAAUCAGCUGAAAUUGGCCUUUGAAUUAAUACAUUCCCUUGAAAACGGGAUUUGAACGACAUAUGCUUGCUCCAUAUUCUUCAUACUCUGCUUUUGUAUGGCAAGCCUGUACGUUGAGCAGAAACCUCAAAAUCAGAGUUUGGUAAUCCAAGAAUAAUAUAACUCCAUCAUUAGUGAUCACAAGCACAAGCAAUACACAAAUCAGCCAGCCAAAUUGUAAAAGCAGGUAAGUGUGAACGUCAAAAUUUAUCUAAUUAACCGAGUAGAAGUAAUUGAAUGUCCUCUUCCUCUCUCCUACAAUUUUAUCCAAAAAGCCCUUGAUCCAAUUAUAGAGUAUUUAUAUCUUGGCCUAGUUAAAUUAAAUUAUCAUAAUGAGAGAGCCAUAGGUGUCAUACUCCUUGAAUACCAAAUGAGUGUUAUACGUAGGUGAUUAUAAAACGAAAAAGUGAAACUUAAUUAAUUCAACCAUCAACACCAAUCAUAUGGGCUUUUAUCUCAACUUAAAUAUAUAAAAAAAAAAAAGUAUACUAGUUCAGAUCAUAAAAUCAAAUACCAGACGACAAUCAGGAAAACCCAUUCGUUUACAGUUGACUAUACCUAUUAGGGUUUGCCUACCUUACGUUAAACGUAAGGUAGCAGCUCCCUACCUAUUAAUAUAUAAUAUGGAUCUAAGGCUUUCAGAGUGGGGAGAACAUCACACUAGAAACAUUUCUUUGAAUUUAAACCCUAGAUCAAAAGAAACCAUUAAACACCACACCCCCCCCCACCCCCCCGGUUUCCUCUUUUUCCCUUUAAAGAAAGGGAUCAGAAGAAACCUUCAAAUCUAAAAGAGGCAGUAAAUUAGACAUGCAGCAGACAUACAGGAAGGAGAUCUUGGGAUAUGAGAAGAAAGCUGAAUAUGGGCUUGCAGAUUCAAGAGAAAUGGGCACUAUUCAUCACAGUUUCAAACUGAGCAUACCGCAAAAAAUUCAGGCGUCGAAGCUAGUACAGAACCACCAAACCACACUGCAUAUCUCUGAAUAGCAUGGCUGACAACAUUAACUUCCACAGGUUGUGCCUAGAACCAAUUACAAAAGAAAAGAGAGAAUGAACAAUCAGCUUACCAUUUCUAUUGUUAAUAAUCAUCAAAGUUUUCUCUAGUAUAAAUUUAAAAGUGAUUCACAUAAAUGAAAGAAGUAUUUACUUUUACUUCCCCACCAAGUCGAGCAUCAGAUGCAAGAACCCGGGCAUCCACAAUCUUCUUCAGAUCCCGUUGCAACCUUCUAUGGAAGUCCUUGAACAUAGUUGAACCUCCAGAUAAAACUAUAUUCUGAGAUACCAAACAAAACCAAUUACUUUGGAAAGCUCACAAACAUGAAUAUCUGUAGAUCUUUAAAUUUUGCCAAAACAGAGGUAUAACAAUAAACAAAGCUAGAUGUAAUCACACUACAAGGAGCAACGUAGGUAUGGAUAGUUAAGAAAAUAGGCAACCAGUAUAUAAACUUAAGGCACAAAUGAUUGAAGUAAAUUUUCAUUGGUCCUGCAACGACCAACAAAUCGGAGUCCCACCUCAACCCUGGCAGUGCAGGUUGUUCUUAUGGUUUCAUUGUGAUUUAUCUCAUCUAUGCAUUCUUUUCCAUUUAUAAGCUUAUAAAUACCUUAUACAAAGCCCUUCUUGUGUCAAUUGGUGCAGACUGGAUACAUUUGUCUAUUACAGCCGGUAAAGGAGUGGUAAAAUCACUGCUAUAUAUCUCAGGAUUAAAGAACACCUAUCAAACAAGGCAGGUCAUCAGAAUGUCCAGCAAAAAGCAGCAUAUGAAAAGCAUAACAUGAUUUUGCAUCAGUCAUCUUAUACUACUGAAACUUCAUUUAUUAGAAUUGGAAGAAUGCCUAAGGUGCCAUUCUGAAAGAUAAACAAUUCUCUAGAUAGAAAACAACCAACCUCAGGGCCAAGAAAUCGUUCAUAACCUAUAUCACAUGAAUAUGGUGCCCCUGUCUUCGGUUUGAUGCCCCUCCAUUGCUUGAAAUAUUUUGAUGGUUCUUUGUCAUGCUUGUUGUACUCCUGGGAAUCACUGAAGGAAUCAUCUAUGUUUCUCACGGACAACAUAAAUAAUCAACAGAAUUAAAUUACAGAAAAAUUCAACUUAAACUUUUCAAGGAAGCAAACCUUGACAAUAUCUGAACAUGUAUAGCAAUACAUUUCCUUCACCUUCCGAGCUACUUCAAACGAGUCUUCAGGUGGUACAUUCUCACCUCUUUCCUACAUUAAACAGUGAUUAAGAAAAAGAAACUGUGAGGAUCAAAUUAUUAAUGUACAAUAUAUCUUGACUUGUGAACAUGUCAUUCAAUAACCCUUUCUGAAGUCUAAAAGCAUGAUGAUUAAUCAACAUUAACCAGUAAAACAAUCACUAUUAGAGGAAUCAUGAGAAAAUAGGAAAAUACCACGGUGACAUGUCCCAAAUCACAAGAAAUAGAGCUGCAUGAUAGACUGUCACACUUUGAGGUUGGAUUUACCUCAGUACACAGAGUAUAAAUAAGGUGUUCAAAUUCACAAGAAUUGAAAUGGAUACAAGACGGAAGAAUCACUACAUUUCUCAACUCAAAUGUCCAAGGAAAUUAAUAGAGUCCAAUUUAUUUAAUAAAAUCUACUCUUCCUCUCAAAGCUAUUAAGUGUUUUAUUAGUCACAUUCUUACAAUUCAAAAGGCCAGUACAUUAAGAUGCCUCAGUAAAAUACAUCACAGGAGUGCACAUUAUCAUUUUAGCCCUUAUAAUGCAGCAUUCUUGGCAUUGUAUUUUUUACUUUUGAUGAUAAGAAAUUACAACUUGAACAACUAAACAAAAGCACUUAUUAUUGAUCCAUGGAUUAGAAGAUUUCACAGGAGGUCAGCUCCGCCUCUUUCACCUAAUCCUAGGCUUAUAACAGUCUACGAAUCUUAGACAAUUAACAAUGGAAUUCAAAGGGAAGCCAUGAUCAGAAUUAAAUCAAGAACAAUGACUGCCCAAUAAAGUAAGCACAGACCAGUGAAUUUAUAGUCUAUACAGAGGGAGACAAUGCAAGCAUACCCGCAUGAGCUGCUGAAUGAAGAGAGUGACAUCUUUUCCAGCAAUAGGAAUCGACUUAAUGCUGCUCCCAAUGACAUAGCCCUCUGCGACUGGUACUACAUAAGUAGCCCCAUCUCCAACAUCCACAACAACUCCUGUCAUCUCACACUAAAGUGAACACUAUAUCAAUCUAAACGGAACAAUAUUGAGAAAUUAAAAAAAGGCAAACAGGUUUGGAUUUUAACUAUGGUCUUACAAAAUAAGAAAUACAAGGAAAACAAAUUUCUCAUGACUCUUAAAUCAUAAACUAGUAAACAGGUAAUACUUAUGAAAACUUGUGCUCACACAUCUGUUGUUAUGAAUAUCUAUUUUCAGAACAUUACGAAGAAAAAAGACAAAUCCUAAAAAUUUUACUAUGUAUUCUAUUUAAAAAUAAUCUCAGUUCAAAUGCUUCUAAUUAAAAAAAAAAAACACUUUCAUAAUUAAUGUCACUUUUACAAAUCUCAUGGUUGGGCCUCCUAGUGCUGUGAAUAGUAUCCAAGCUCAGUCAUGUCCUGCAUCGUGUACGUCACAAAUCUUCCCUACCUUUGGGUUAUCCAAAUAGCCGCACAAAUGCACAAUGUUAUCAGAAGUAAAUGUAAUACGAAAGCGAGCAUGUACUGCCAAAGGAGUCUUAUAGCCUCACUAACCAAAUCAUUUUCAUCCAAAAAAUUUUAAAGCCCAACUCAAUGUCACCAAAAUUAAAUGAAAUUGUUAAAAUGACAAGCUCAGACACUGAACGUAACACACUUCAAUCCUAAUAAACUAAAAAUUCAUGAACAAAAUAAAACGAAUACAUUUAAUUAUAGUUUAGACACCAACCUUAGAUGUUGUGUACCCAGCUGCAAGUGCAAGCACCGAAUUCACAGCAAUAUAAAGGCCAGGAACAUUAAAAGUCUCAAACAUGAUCUCACCAGUAUACUCUCUACUCUCAGGAGCAGUGAGCGGGCUCUCGGUCAACAGAAAGUAGUGAUCCUCUGGAUCACAACGCAAGUAAUUAAAUAUACACUGCUGCCAAUACCUCUCCAUAGCAUCCCAAUUAUCAACCUGACCAUGCCUAAUAGGAUAACUAAGGUUAUAGGUACUACUAGAUCGCGAUUUUGUGACUGCUUCAUCUCCAAUAAAGAAGUCAAGGUCGGCCAUUACGCCUGCGUUGUACUGUGCAAGCCAAUUGGCCUUUGACGAAGAUCUUGAUUGAUUUAAAAACGACUCGUUUACAGCUACUACAGUCGGAAGAAUAAAACAUGGCUCUACAUUACCCGCAAAACCCAUCUUAGUAUACCUGCAAUACAACCCAAAAAGCAACAACAAUUUGAAAGUUGAAGCAAGUAAAAAUAAAGAAAUAACGGAACAAAGACCAAAACCCAAUAGGAGCAUUUCAUCAAACAGGUUGUGUACGCAUUCAUUCUCGUAAAUUAGUAAAAAGAAGGGGAACAUACCCGGUGCCGUUGUCGAUGACGACGGCAGGACGAGAAGUGGGGUCCAUUGUAAAGAGAAAGGAGGUGAGAAUCGUGGUGGUGGUGGUGGUAACGAGGGAUCCGCAACUGAGAUCCGAGAGAAGGGUUAAGGCAAUGGAACAUGAUCGUGAAGAAAGUGUUGGUGAUGGUGAUAUACGAAAGACUUGAAUCGCAAGUGAAAGGAGCGACUCAACGCACGGCAGCUUUGUAAGUUGGUACAAAAUCCAACACCCAUUUCAACAACAACACCGAUAAUGGAAAUGAUAAGCCUCUCUCAUCAACUUCUUCAUCAUUGCUAUCACUGUCUUUUCAUUUUCCUCUUUUUCUUUUUUUCUUUUUUUUUUUUCUCCCUCUCUGUUUUCCCUUUUGCCGUAUGUGCGAAUUGUGAUCUCGACUACGAUACUUUUCUUAGCUAUCAAUUAAAAACUACGCACCGCGAUAGCUGCCUCCACAUAGAGACGUUCUUUUUAUCUUUUUGCCCUUUUUGCAAUUAUUUAGACCUCGCCAGACCGACCUACUUCUAAUGUGCGAUCUGUCGAUUUGACUGUCGUUUAGCUUGACGGUGUAUCUGGACCGUUUGUUUUGUUGACCUUUUGACACGUCGAAUUCGUGUUUGUUUCUGCAACUCCGUGGGGCCCACGAGAGUGAUGUCAGAGUAGCCGUGAAUUUCUUUGUUUCUUUAGUCGUGGAACCCGAACGAAUUGGUGAGGAAUUUGAUGGUGCUGAAACCAAUGAGAAUUCAAGGACGUUUGGUGCUCGUGGUCUUUUUAUUUUUCGUUAUAAAUAAAUAAAAAAAUUGCGAGUGAGAAGACCUAAAAUUCUAAAUUCUAGUCAAGCCAAUCUAAAAUAAGCGAAUGAAUUAUGCACAUUGGAUCCAUCUGCAUUUACUUCAUAUUUGAUGAAUAUCGUUUAAAUGUUAGACAAAUUAAGCUCCAUACAUAGUCAUCCCAAAUUGAACAAAAUAAUUUAUCAUAACAAAUAAUAAAUCAUGACUCAAAAACUGCAUGAUCUUCUCAAUUUAAUUUAAGAUCAGGCCAAUCUUUAUAUUCACACAUAUUAAUUACUAACCAUUUAAAUGUAACUUAGGCUAUUAGUCAAGUGGUAAAACACUAUUUUCUCUAUUAGAAUGCAAGAUUUCGAAUCAAUAGGAAACUUAUCAUUUCUUGUAAAUAUUUAUAGUGAUGGAGCAUAUAUUGUCUUUAUUGCUCAUCAAUUUAUGAUUAUUUAAUAAUGAGUGAUGAUACAGUCAUAAACUUUUAUACAAAUUUAUUUUGUAGCCACUAAGUCUUUGGGCAAAGUGGUUGGGCUGCUGCCCUCAUAAGCGUGAGAGCAGCAGUUUAAACCCCCACAAGAGCAUUGUGGGGCUAAAUAUUUAUAAAUUAUUCUCCUUUACGAAAUACAAGUAGGGUAUGUACAUUUCUCUUUUUUUAGGGUCAUUUCGUCUGGGCAUGUACUUCAUAUAAUUUAAUAUAAUAAUGUAAGUUUCAGUUAUGUAUAUAUGAAUUUAAUAUAAUAAUAUAAGUCUCAAUUAUGUAUAUCUGAUUAACAUCGGUGUAAUGUUUGAUAUAAUAGCAGCUGUAAAUCUGUAAUAUAAUGCAUUAAUCUGGUGCAUAACCAGUAUUCAAAAAAAAAAAAACUUAUCUUAUACAAACUGAUAUGGUUUUAAUUCAUUGGUUGAAUGAAAAUAUAAAAUAAUAGAAAUAAAUCAUAUGGGUCAAUAAAUAUUUAAUUCAACCAAUUUUAUCAUGCCACAUCAGUUUGUACAAGAGUUUGUGACUAUAUCAUUACUCUUUAAUAAUUAUAUGAAUUUAUAUUAUUGUAAACUCCUAAUUGUAAUAUAAAAAAUGAAUUUUGGAAAAAAGAAAUAAAAAUAAAAACCAUGCUUCAAACUUGUUGCAAUGGGCUAACUUGGCCCGCGAUCAGCCUAGAUUUGGUGGACUAAGCAGCAGGGAAAUGGGCUUAGCAAUUGGGCUGAGCCUAAAUUAGGUGAUUUACAAUUUUUUUUUUAAAAGGUGAUUUACAUUAUACACGCUAUUUUGUGAGAAGUUGAAUCUUAACAAAUUUAGUUUUUCGUUAUUUAUUUAUUUAUCAUUAUUAUUAUAUUAUUACUUCUAAUAUUGUCAUCGUAGUCAUAUUAUUGUUGUUGUUGUUGUAGUAGUUAAUAAUUUUGUUAUUGGUACUAAUAAUAACUUUUUUGAAUAAUAACAAUAUUACAAUAUUAUAACAAAUAAUAAUAAUAAUUACGGUAAUAAAUUAGGGCAUAUCAAUAAUUUAUGAUAAUUCAUUCAGAUUUCAAAAUAAAAUAAAUACAUUAAUGCCAAUAAAACUCAUUCUUAUUAUAAUUCAUACAAUUUAAAUAAAUAAAUUAUUCUAAUUUCAAUUCUUCAUCCUUAAUCGAACUCGUCCCUCACGUACACAGAAACGACGACGUCGUUAGUGAUUUGAAAUGGGGAGAGAUCUGAAGCUAACCAAGCAAUUCCGAGGCACCAUAAUCCACGCAACUUAGAAUAAAAAUAUUGCGUACAUCAGAAGAAAAUCUGCACCUGUAUAAUUGCAUGUGUGAUCACGUUCGUUAACUCUGGCUGAGCACGUGCAGGGGACACGUGUUCGGCACUUGCGAUACCCAAACUGUGCUCGCAAAACCUGAGCCACCACCGGCAGUCGGUGCAGUGCUUGUCAAUUUUUUUCUUUUUAAUUGCCAACCAUUUCCCAUUCACGAAUCAGGAUAUUGCACUCUCUUAUUCCUUCCUUCCUCCGAUGCUGUCUACAUAUCUUGAUGGGCUCCAGUCACAGCAAAUUAAUAUGCAUAAUAAUUUAUUGCAAGAGAGCAAGUGCUGCGAUAAUCUAAUGAUUUUGCUUAAUACUUUUAAAACACGAGCAAUCACAUCCCGAGCCAAAAUGAGUCAACUGAUGGAAGCUUUUAAUUUAAUUUUAAUAGAGCGAGCGUUUCUUAGAGAGAGAUCCGUGUUUGGUAAGCAUCAAACACAGAUGAUGAUAAUGAAUGAUGAUGAUGAUAAAUUGUCGUGACGGUGGUUAGGGUUCCAAAAAAAUCAGAGCUUUAAUUUAUUAAUCAUUAUUACUACUCUACUCUAUGUAACGUGCUUUUCCAUCACCGAAACCUAACCCAUAAAAAAAAAGCAAACAGAACCAAUUUAAUUUCUUGCAAUUUUGGUCUCUGACGCAUGAGUUAAUUUACUGCAACCAGCAGCCAGCAAAACAGAGAAAGCGUGCCUAUCAGUUGAGAUGAGCUACUAAUUGAGUGGUUGCAGCAUCCCCAGCAGAGGAGCUAUUUUUCGUGAUAUACGGAAAAAGAGAGGUCAAUAUUUGUUGAGGAAAAUAUUGAAUUAUGACAAAAUAUUAUGUUGACGCCACAAAGUUUAUUCUUCUUAGCAUUCUUAAAUAUAAGUAAGAACAUUUGCGAUGUAAUUUUAAAAUAUAUUACCCAUAACGUUAAAAUUAUAAGUUAUUUAGAUAUCAUCAUACGGUAAUAUUGUUGAUCAUAACAUAAACAAUAUUGUCAAUUAGAUAAUUACUCUUUUGUAUAUAAUUUUUUUUUUUGUUGGCUAAAUAAUUUUAUUUAAUUGACAACUUAAGUUCAAAUAAGAUAUCUUUUCUUUUCCUUUACCUGCCCCUUUAAAAAUUAACAUGCACCUUAUGUUAUGUAUAAUAGAUAAGACUUGAGAGGCAGCCCAUUAUCUAUACAAUGCAUACUUGUGACACAAAAGCAGCUCUCUCAGCUUAUGAAUCCCACAAAUCUGUAAUAUGAUCCAAUUGGGGGGACUCCCAUCCGAUGCUCAAUAAUCGCUUUCGCACAGGAAAUGACUUCAGCACCCUCAAUCAACAUCAAAAUCAACCAGUUACCAACAAAAAGAACAGCACUUGGGGGCAAAAUUGUCAUUUCGAUCGAUCAAUCACGACCAUGGGCCACGGCCCGAAAGGACUCCUUCCCCUCACCCAACGAACAUACUCUUCCCCACCUCCCCAAUUACUGCAUUUUUCUCUAAUGCGCACGUUAGCUGUCUUUCCCAUUAUCAUAGUAUAAGCCAAAACACGCGCGAAGAAAAGAAAAAAACAAACAAAUAACAUAAAACAGAAACAAAAGAGUUACGAGCUCAUUAAAGCAACGGUCAUUGCUUUUAUUACUUGCAAGUAUAUUACAGCUAACUUUAAUAAAAUAACGUUGGAGAUACAAUAACUGUAUCCAUGGAAAAAUAGGUGGGUAAGUGUGAAAAAAAAAAAAAAAAAUCAAUACAAUAAUGUGAAGAGAAUAAAGCAUUGUGACCAACCAAUGAUUUUUCUUUUGUUUUUUAGUCAUUGAAUUAUUUUGUGCUAAUUUUCUAUUGGUGGCUUUUUAUAUCAUUAGUUUAUUUGUCAUAAUAACUUUCCGAAUAUGAUUUCUCAUUUUAUUAAUUGAGAAUUAAAUUAUAAGAUGACAAGAUGUAAUGUAUAUUUUGUAUUUCAAUGCAUUAGAGUUUUGUGAUUUUUUUUUUAUUACAAUUUAUUAAACUGAGGGAUAGAGAUAUUUAGCCGUGCUUAGGUGCAUACAUACACAUUUUUAGAUCGUUUAGAUGGAUCUAAAAAAAAAAAAAUACAAAAACAAAAACUUCAAUGUACUAAAAAAUAAAAAUAUUGCAUUUUAAGUCUAUAUAUAUAUAUAUCUUUUAAUUUUUUAGUUUUGUUUGUAUUUUAAAAUCGUUUGAACGUCCAUACCAUUAUAUACACACUUGCACUCAAUUAGUCUCUAAUGGAUAUGUCUUCACUUACAAAAUUGAGGCUCUAUUAAACAAAUUAAACGGGGAAAAAGAAAAUUAUUUUCAAUGCAUUAGAAUUUUUUAAAUCUUUUAUUGGCUUCUAAUAAAAUGUAGUAUCAUGGCCUUUUCUCUUGAUUGAAAAAUAUAUGAUUAAAAACUACGAUUAUAACCACUCGGCUCAGCCUGAGUGGUCAGGGCUGCUGCCCUCCAAGUUGGAGGACAGCAGUUUGAACCCCCACAAAAGUAUUGUGGAGGUAUUUCAUUUCUCAAUUAAUUUGAGUGAAGAUAGUCUUCUUCCUUACCCAUGAGUGAGGAGUAGACAUCCCUCGAAUAUUUGUGAGGGUUAAAAUCUGGGCAGAGCUCUAUUAGCAUUGAUGUAACUUGGUCCCAGUAAUUGUCUGAUUUGUAAAUAUCAGUUAUAGUCUCAUGUAAUAUGAGUUGUAAUCUGAGCAAUUGUAAUCUGAGCAAUAGUAUCAUGUAAUAAAAAAAAAAAAAAAAACAACAACUACGAUUAUUACAAAGUAAAGCCUUAAAAAUAUGCUGUUAUAAGUGGACUUCUAACUUUUAAUCUUGUUAUUCUUGUACUCGUUGUCGAUAUUAACUUCAAUAAAAUAUUAUAAUUUUUAUUUAAAAGUUUUGUUUACUGGCGUCACUUAUAAGCACAAACUGAUUAUUAUUAUUAUUAUUAUUAUUUUUUCCGGUAAUCAUCUAUAUUGUAAUUUAUUUAAAUACCUGUUCCUCCAAUUCUUAGCGGUUGUAAAUAAAUCACUCUUUUUAAGUUUUUAUUAAUCUCAUAGUCGUAGGCGCUAGCCUAGCUUGGAGAGUUGGAGGGCAACACUGACUCUACACUGAAUUCUACUGACCACUGCCAUAAUUAUGGAUCUGUUAGCGCGCUGCACGACAUUCAUAAAUUGCAACUGCCUCCGCCUCCGCCUCUCACAUUGAUCCCCAGUACUCACCGUUUCGCUCCCCGAUCUUAUGUCAUUUCCCAAACGUUUCGUUUCGCUCUCCGUCCCUCCUUCGAGCUCCGAUCGGGUCUCGCAUUUCGCUCUACCCGUGCCCGACCCGAGCCUCCUACACCAUACGGAACUCCUCCUCUCACUGUAUUCAGCCGAAGGAUAUAAAACAUUUAGGUGAUCCGUCGUCGUUUUUGAUUGUGAAUGCUUUGGUGCUUGUAAAAUGAAUCCUCUGUGCUGCAUUGCUCCGGUUUCCAUCGAUCGGGACCGGGCGAAUCCCGUGGUUGCAAAAUCGACAGCUCAUUGUCAGUUAGGUCAUGAAACAGCCGCUGUUAAAACAGUUAAACCGAGUUUGUCGGCUCAGGUCUCCUCCGUCGGUACUGACUGCGAUAAGUCGUCAGCUGCUAACGUCGUCGUCGAGUCAGUGACAGAAUCUCGUUAUAACGGAAAUGGCGGAGGCGUGAGUGCCAGCGUGGCAGGGAUUUUGUACAAGUGGGUGAAUUACGGUAAAGGAUGGAGGUCGAGAUGGUUCGUGCUUGAAGAUGGAGUGCUGUCGUAUUAUAAGAUUCAUGGACCGGAUAAGAUUUUGAUGAGUCCGGCUAGAGAUAACAACGUUAGAGUGAUCGGUGAAGAUUCCAUUAGGUUUAUGAGAAAGGCUAACUGGAGUAGUCACCGGCUCGGCUUCGCUGCUCGCCAAUGUAAGCCUUUUGGUGAAAUACACUUGAAGGUUUGUUCCUUUAACUGCAUAGAUUUUAAUUUGUUUGUUGAUAUGUUUGUCGUCCUUGAUGCCAUUAGAAAGUAAAGUUAGAAUCUUAAUGGCAGCCAAUUUUGUUGACUUACUUGCACUUGCCUCUUUCCGUCGAAGUAUUCAUUGUAUAGAUGGAGGUUCAUUUUGUUAAUUGAAUCUUUAAGUUUAGGAGUUAGGAUUAUGUUUGGAUGAAAUAUUAAUGAUCGAUAUCUCUAGUAUUUUUCAAAUGAAUCCGAUAUUGUUCUACUGAUAAAUAAAGCAUACAUUAUUAGGAAAAUAAUGCUGGUCUCUUUGAGUGGUUUCUGAGUUUGAAGUGAUAUGGUGCGCAGGUAUCUUCAGUUCGUGCAAGCAAGUCAGACGAUAAAAGGCUUACAAUAUUCACGGGAACAAAGACUCUUCACUUGCGUUGUAUAUCUAGAGAGGACAGAACUGUGUGGAUUGAUGCACUGCAGGCUGCCAAAGAUCUCUUUCCGAGAUUAUUGACAAGCACUGAUUUUUCACCUUCUGAAGAUGUUGUUGUUUCAACCGAGAGGUUACGAUUACGAUUAUUGCAGGAAGGCGUUGGUGAUUCAGUAAUUAAAGACUGUGAGUCUAUUAUGCUCUCAGAACACUCUGACCUGCAAAACCAGUUGAACGCUCUUCAACGUAAACAUAUAAUGUUACUGGGGACCUUGAGGCAACUAGAGGUAUUUGACAUGAUUUCAUUUUUCAAUUCAGUUCUCUAUCUCUUGGUAAAUUAAACAAAGUCUUGGGAAGGAUAAUUGAGUGUGUCACCAUUUGCAUUGGAAUUAGUGAGGAGGUUGUUCUGUUUUCUGUUCUUCUUUGUUUUUUUGGAAACAUUUCACAGAUUUAGGUUUUGCCACCAAUCACUAGGUUCAGCCUCAUCUUUUCGUACAUGAUAUAAUCAUUAAUCUAUAGUGACUGGCAUUAUAAAUUCUGAGCUGAAUCAUCGUGAUUGUCUUGUAUUAUUUAAUGGUACAGAUGUGUUUGAAUGGCAUAAUUAAUUGGUUGGUUUAAGUUGCUUCAGUUACUCAAGUUUCAUGCAGCCAUUUCUUAGUGCCUCUUGAACUUUUACCAUCUUAUGAUUUUCUGCAUUGUUGUUAUUCCAGCUCAUGUCCUCAAUUUCCUUGUGUUUUUCUCCUAUGUAAUUUUUUUUUCUUUUGGUGAUUUCUCCUCUUAAAAUUGUUUUGCAGACAGAAAAAAUGGAGCUGGAAGCUACUGUAGUGGAUGAGACAAAGGAGCGUGAUUCUUAUUGCGGACAAGGGAAUAGAAGAUAUAGUGGUUAGUUCUGCUUUUUUAACUUCUUCAAUGGAAAUAAUUUAUUUCAUCCAUUUUUCUUAGAAUAUAAACUGACCAUGUCUAUUAUACAUAUGUAGAAGCUUAAUAUGUGUGAAUAUGUACUUGUUGAGGGUGAAUACAAGAGAGCCAACAUAGUUGGAGCUUGGUUGAUUUCCUUGAACAUUUAUUUUAUUUUGCAUAAUAAUAUUGUUAACCGACCACCGGAAGCUCGUAGAAAUCAAAUCUGUUAUUGUUUAAGAAAAUACAACUCAUCCGGUAGAUAUGCUUAUAAUUUUCCAAAUGAAGCAUUACAGUGAAAAAGGUUACAUAUUCACAUAUACUGCCAUGCAGUUGGCGAAACUGAAAAAGGGCCAUGUGAGCAUUCCUUAUUAUUUAACUCCUAAUUUCUUUGCUUAUUAUGAAACUGUUAAAAUUAUUAUUUUAACUCCUCAGCGGUAUAUGUUCGGUCCCUAGUUCCUAAUCAUUCAAAUAGAAACACUUAAUGAAAUUGCAGGAAGAAAAGUUGUAUUUUAUUUUUCAUUUUAAGCAAAAAGUAUUGGGCAGAAUUUCUUGUAAUGAGUUAAAACUCAGAAUUUUUAAUUUUUUGCUGAUUUCUUAGCUUCUUCAUGUCUCAGAUUUCUAUUCCGUCAUGUCUGAGGGCAGUGCAAGUGAUUCUGAUGCAGAAAAUGAAAGUCAAGAUGGAGCAGAUGUUGAAACAGAUGAAGAUGAUGGAAUAUUUUUUGACACAAAUGAUUUUUUGUCUUCGGAGGCUUUAAGAAGUGUCUCUUAUCGGAGUAGGGAAGCAAUGGGACACGCCUGCAUAUAUGACAAAGAACUUUUAUUUUCAGAUCGUUUACGAGGGGUUGAAAAUGAAAUCAGACCAAUACAGUAUCCAUAUGUUAAAAGAAGGGAUACUCUACCAGAACCAAAGGAGAAAGAGAAACCAGUUGGCUUAUGGUCAAUUAUUAAGGACAAUAUUGGAAAGGACUUGUCUGGAGUUUGUCUCCCAGUUUACUUUAAUGAACCACUGUCUUCACUGCAGAAGUGCUUCGAGGAUUUGGAAUAUUCAUACCUGGUCGAUCAAGCAUCGGCAUGGGGAAAGCAGGUCAGGUCCUCUGCUUUGCUUUCUUUUGAGGCAAACCAGUUUUAAACCAUGAUCUACCAGUUAAAUUACAAUCCAGGUAGUUCAUGUAUAGGCCUUAUUUCUGAUAGAUUAAUUAUCUUAUUCGCUUAUGUGGAUUAGGUCAUGACUGCUUUGGCUAACAAAUUUAAGCUUUGUUCUUGGUUCACUAUAUGUAUUUGAUGUGUUCUUGGUUCACUAUAUGUAUUGGGUGUGUUCUUGGUUCAAUUAUGUAUUUUGUAUGUAGUUUUGAUGACCCCUUUUAACCUUCAACCAGGAUUUCGUAAAUUUAUUCAUGAUAACCUCUUCUAUCCACAAUUUUUUCUUGUUUGAUGGGAUCUUAGGGAGGAUCUAAGUAAUUUUACUUCCCAAUUCUUAACUGCUGCUUUGGGAUCUCAAAAACUUGAUACCGCUUUACUCCCCACUGCGAGGAGCCAGCUGAUCCUACCGACCGUAGGACUUCUGGUCAAUUUGUGAUAUGUGUAAAAGGGUAGACAAAAUAUGUGAUUACUAUUCAGCUUCAGGUGUUCUUGUCCUAGUCUAUCAAGGGAUUGCUCCUUAACAGUCUGUACCUCUAUAAACUUUGGAGCUUCUCUAUGAAUUAUCUACUCCUAGGACAUUUAAGUUCCAAUUACAAGACAUUGCCAAACAGCACGUGGUACCCAUAGGGAAAAAGGAUAAAAGAGGAUUGUUGCAAUAUGAUCAAAUAUGCUGAUUUGUGGGCCUCUUGGUUGAUUGAGUGACGACAUUCAGAAUGGCUUGAUAUUCAGUGGGCUGUGGGUUUUGUUCAAGAUAAUCUGUUUUCCAAAUAAGCCUGUUUAGGACAUUUAGUAGAUGUGUAGAAGUUGCAAAUAUCACUUCCUUUUUAGAAACAGAAAUGGUUAUCAGUGGAAAGUGUUCAAAUAUUUUUCCUUUUAAGAAGUAGUUUCUAUUGGGUUUCAUAUAUUUAAGCUUAAUAUUUGCUUUCACUAAGAAGUCUACAGACAUUCAGAACUUGCUUUAUAUUGUAAAUUUUAAGUGGGUGUUGACAUUGUUUUCAUUCCAUGCUAACAAGGAAUGUCUAAGAUAAGGAAUUUACAUGGUGCAGGGGAAUGAUUUGAUGAGAAUUUUAAACGUUGCAGCCUUUGCUGUAUCUGGCUAUGCAUCAACUGAAGGUCGGCAGUGCAAACCCUUCAAUCCUCUUCUUGGAGAAACCUAUGAGGCUGAUUAUCCAGAUAAAGGACUCCGCUUUUUCUCAGAAAAAGUAGGUUUCUUUCUUCCAACUGAAAAAGCUUGUUUCUUUCUUCCACUAUUAGUAAACUUUUACCUGAAAAUACUGGAGAGAGUCAAAAUUGAAUUCACCUGUUAAAUUUUGCCUCAUUUUUAACGAAGUACAUGACGCUGACAUCUAACGCUUUUCUGUUUAUCACUUGUUAGCUGACAAGUCACUUUCAUUUCAGGUGAGUCAUCAUCCUAUGAUUGUUGCUUGUCAUUGUGAGGGAAGAGACUGGAAAUUUUGGGCUGAUUCCAAUCUCAAAGGGAAAUUUUGGGGUAGAUCUAUUCAGCUUGAUCCUGUUGGUGUCCUAACCCUGCAGUUUGACGAUGGCGAGACCUUCCAGUGGAGCAAGGUCACCACUUCCAUAUACAAUAUCAUACUUGGGAAAAUUUAUUGUGAUCACUAUGGCACCAUGCGCAUUAGGGGCAGUGGCAAUUACUCAUGCAAACUCAAGUUCAAGGAGCAGUCUAUCAUUGACAGAAACCCACAUCAGGUAACUUUUGUACUUGAAACAGACAUCAUUGGGCACUCUUAUGUGUUCACUUGACGGACAACAGGCUUUUUCUCGUUGCAUGUCUGCUGUUUCUGUUUCUGUUUUUUAUUUUUAUUUUAUUUUUUUAAUCUUGACAAAAAAACAAAGGUUUUCUUAGGAACACCAGUUUUACCAAUUCCAGGCAUUUAAUUAUCUGCAUUUGAUUUAUGAUCUAUCCGGCAGAACCUUCAUUCUUUUCAUAAGAUACUAUUUGGAGACUAUAUAUCCUUAAAUAUGUGAAAUACUGUAUUACAAUGAAAAUAACUUCUUAAAUAUGCACUUAAAACAUACAUGUAUAAUUUAACCAAUUGAUUUCUUUUUUAAAAAAUUGAGUUUAGGUUCACGGAUUUGUGCAAGAUAAUAGAACAGGAGAGAAGGUAGCGAUGUUGGUGGGUAAGUGGGACGAAGCUAUGUACUAUGUUCUGGGAGAUCCGACAACAAAACCUAAGGGAUAUGAUCCAAUGACCGAAGCUGUGUUGCUGUGGGAAAGAGGCAAAACUGUUACCAAGACAAGAUACAAUCUCACCCCAUUUGCGAUAUCCUUAAAUGAGCUGACCCCUGGCUUAUUGGAUAAAUUGCCUCCAACAGACUCAAGGCUAAGGCCAGAUCAGAGAUACUUAGAAAAUGGAGAAUAUGAAUUAGCAAAUGCGGAGAAGCUGAGACUAGAACAGUUGCAGAGACAGGUAUUCACCUAGAGAUCUUCUGUCGUGUUUCUCGUUGGAUAUACGAGGUCUUAUGAAUUUAGGGUAUAAAUUACUAAUUCAUUUGAUUUAGCUUGGGACCAGGUAUACAACUUAGGGCCUAUUUGGUAUUGUCGUUGGGCAGCUGUAGCUUUUAAGUUAAAGCACUAAAGUAUUUAGUAAACAUUUAUUACUAUGGUUUGGAAGCUAAGUUGAAUUUAUCCCACAAUUGUAUGAUGAAAAAUCUAUAAUAUCUUUAUUAUUUUUAUUAAAAUUAUUAUUCAAAGGGUCAUAUUUACAGUAAAUUUAUUAAUUUUAAUUUUAUAGCUAUAACUUUUUCCCCACUACAGGUCUAGUCUUGCAUUUACUGUUAGCAAUACACUUGUCAGAGUUUGGGUUGUCUCUCAAAGAUUUGGCUGCUGGCAUGAACACACUUGACUUAAAAACUCUACAAAUGACUAUGAAAAGAAGGAACCCUACUCACCCUCUAUGAUGAAGAUAAUAUUUGGUAGAGUAUUGCGCAACUAAUAUUGUUGCCUUAAUCUAAUGUAUUUGAAUUGAGUUCCAUGUUCCUGUAACUUACCUUCGUAAGUCUAGAUCAGUUCCAGCACUAGUUUACAUAAUUCAACAUGCCAUAACAUUGAACUUUCUUCUAUUUCUUUUACUAGGUAGAAAUAACAUUGAGCAACUUUUAUUUUCUUUUUAACGCAGGCAAGGCAAUUACAGGAAAGUGGAUGGCAGCCAAGUUGGUUUUGCAAGGACGAGGAUGGUUGUUAUCGUUACAUGGGUGGCUACUGGGAAGCAAGAGAAAAAGGGGACUGGGGCGACAUUGCUGAAAUAUUUGGUCAGAGCAGUGAUUCACCUUCAUGUUUAGUAGAAGAAUAGGCUGUCCUUCCACUCAGGUUGCUCUGUAGUUAUACUGUUGUCAUAUUUCCUUUUUCGUUCCCCAUUCCAAUUGUUGUCUAUGCUAAUAGUUACUCAAAAUAUUAGAUUAGACUUAGCUUCCGUGAUGUUGAAACUGGAGUCUCUUCAAGGUGUAAGGCUAUUGCUAGUUUCUUGAAGCUCUAGUAAACCGAGUAACCAACGUUACCAUUACAGGUGACCUGGUGGGUAUUCUACAUGCUCAUAACCUGCGGAAUUUCAUUCUCACUAUCAACUUGCUGAUAUUUCGAGCAUUUAGUAGUCUACUUAAAUGCUAAUACAGUGAACAGAUUAGAUAUUAACACACUCAAUUGAGUUGAGAUAUCAAGAAAUUUAAGUGGCUUUAAUGGUGGGUUACGUGUAGACUUGGCAUUAGUUAAUAUGUAAUAUGUUAGAUCAUCUCAUCUCAUCAGACGUCCGAGAUAAGGAAUGCAAUUAAAUUGAAAAUUGGAAACAAAAAUGUUUUCUUUGGACCACAUGCUCGGAUAUACAGAUAGAAUAAGCUAUAUCUGACGCAAAUUUCAAAACUUGGUUCGUUCCCCAAAUCAGGAUUAUUUCCACGCUUUCCUUCCUCGGAACUCAAAACUUGGUUCGUUCCCCAAACCAGGAUUAUUUCCACGCUUUCCUUCCUCGGAACUGUUUGCCCGCUCGUUGCUGUUUUUUCUUUUUCUCUUGUCGAGAUUUAGCAACUUUGGCUCUUUUUGCAGCAAGAGGCAUAGCCUUCUUGUGUUCUUUUUGACGAUUGCUCAAACCACCCGUCUGAUCGCAACAUUACAGGAUAUCAAAAUGGUGAAUCAUGCACAAGUUUGUGCUUUUGUAAUUGGAAAGAUUAACAGUAAGGAGGCCAUUAAAUAUGUCAGCAAGCAGUGUCUUAAGGAUAAUUGAUUGAAUUAAUUCAGCCAGUCAAUCAAUGGUUUAAAAAUAAUAGACAAUAAAGCACUGUAAAUACAAGUGUACCUUUUUCUGUUUAAUAGCAGCUCGAGCCAUGUACUUCCCUCUGUCUUCCCUCCCUGCUCUUAUUAAUGCAAGCCUUUCCUCUUUGCUUAACUUUUGCCGUACAUGAGCCUAGAAUUUCCAUGAACAAGUCAGUCAGUCAAAAUGUGUUCAUGGCAGCAAAGAAGAAAAGGAACAAAAAAGGAACAUGACAAAGGUAAAAUUGAAAGGAAAAGAUAUAGGAAUAGAAGAAUUUGGAAACUGGGAUGAAAAUAUCUCUUUAUCCAAUCAAUUCAAUGAAAUCUACUAUUUCAAAAUGGCCUUAAGCUGAUGAAAUUUCCAUCUGAGUAUACUAACUACUUAUUGCACACAGUUCAUUACAUUGUAGUUGAAUCUCACUUCAAGCAUGCGUAGAGUUCUCAGUUUAUAUAGGACUAUCAUAUGGUCGAAGCAGUCACACAAUCCAUCAACCAACUACGCUUCCAAGAUAUAAGAUACCUCUACCUAGUCAUUCAUUCUACAGUUUCUACCUAGUAUCCGAAGCAUAUAAAAUUGAUUCCAAUUAGCAUUGCCCUGCCCUCCAGAAAGCUUGCAGUUUUUGAGCUUAUGAAAUCCCAGUGACCAACAACAGAGCAAGCUGAAAAUAUAGCCAAUAAAGGCAUAGAAAACUUACUUCAAGCUUGACUGGGUCCACACGCUUAAUGCUCAGUUGAUCAGAACUUGGAACCUUAAACCCUUGCUGAGCCAAAGCAAUCUUAGCCUCCUUCUUUGCCUAAAAAAAUAUUCCAAAGAAGAACCACAGAAUAAAUGCAUAAAUUUGUAUAUCCAACAUAAGUUAAGGAAACUGGUAUGAACCAGUAGUCCAGUCAGUAAGGUUCAAUAAAAUACACGUGUACACCAUGCUUAAUUUUUGGAAUAAACUUGAGAACAAGUUGGCACACCUUUAGUUCUUUGAUCCUCUGGAAAUCUUCAUUAGAAAGAAUGCCAUCACUUGAGUCAGAGGACACACAGCCUAUUUUUGCUUCUGCCAAUCUCUUCAGAGCUCGAAGACUUGUGUCAGCAGCAAUAAGCUGACCAUCAAAAUCAGAAAACUUCCUCUUUUUUGCCAUAGAUUCUUUGGUCACUGGACUGCCGUCCCCGGCAUCACUUUCACUGUUUUUAGAAUCACAACCUUCUUCAAGCUCAUCAACAUCCUCUGCCUCUAACUCCUCUUCUUCAUCGUCAUCACCAUCGAGAUCAUCUUCACUGACACCACUAUCAUCGUCAAUACUAUUAUUAGUAUCAUUGUCUUCAUCUAUUGCAUUGUCAUCUCCACUAUCAUCAUCCUCACUUCCAAUAGCAUCACCAGAUAACUGGUUUUCUUCAUCACCAUCAGUGUCAAUAUUCUCUUUAUUAUCGUUAUCAUCAUCAGAGCCAUCAGAGGCAGAUUCAUUUCCAUCACCAUCUUGUAGUAACUCAACACCAGGAACAUUGCUAGCAACACUGACUUCCCCGAAUGCUCUAGGCCUGGCCUUGGGGUCAGUGGGGCGGCCACGAUCCUUCUUGACCAGUAAAGAAGGGCACACCUGCAAACAAACAAGUAAUUAGUCUACCUAAAUAGACCAGGCAUAUCACUGCAGACAUUGUUCCUACACACGCUAAAACACAAUAGCACAGCAGUAGAAAGUUAUUAAUACCUCUCUGAACAAAGUUAUAAGUGAUCGAGCAGCUGCUGAAACUGCCUUUUCAUGUGAUUUCUUAUAUAAUACAAGAUCUUGCAGCAAAUCGUCUGUCAUCAACUAGAAGCCAAAACAAAUAAAUAAAUAAAUAACGUUGGAACAUUGUAAACAUGCAUUCAUCUAAAAGUAGUACAGAAGAGAUAAGAUGGAAAUAUGAAAUGAGUCCAGAUAUUAAUAUAAAGAACAAAAAAAAGGAAUUGUUCAACCAUAGCUAAAACAACGCAUUUCAUGUAAGUUGCGACAUUUACAUAUGAGUUAAUCAGAUUUUGGGGUGCACCAUCCAAAAGGAAACGACCACUAUAGGUAGUUAGGUACUUACCAAUGGCAUGCGCAAGCAUAUUUCCCUGACAACAUUCAGUCCAACAGCAAUUGCCUAAAACAAGCAAAGGUAAAUGAUACGUCAAUCUGUCAUUCAUUGAAAACAAAAUAUGAAGCAGCUAUACCUCUGUACGUGAACGAUCGUGUACAAACUGAUUAACUAUCUGUUUAAACAAAGGUUCAACUGCAUCAGGAGGCACCUGGUUUAUUGUAAGCAGAAUUAUAGAAAGUAAGAAAAGAAAAUAGAAAAGAACUGUUAAAACUCAAUUGGAAGAAUAAAUAACUAAAUAAACAAACAAAAGAGCUUCACAUCAAAUCCAAAAGAACAACAAACAGAAGCUAAUUGUACCAUAUCAUGACAAGCCUGAACUGCUGCUGCAAGCAAAUUGGUGAUAUCACGUUGAUGAGGCUGCAAAAGCCAAUACAGUCAUACCUCUAUUGACCAACAGAAUUACAACUUCAACGGAUAAGUUAGAAUUAUAUACCUGAACGUAUUUUUGGAGAAAAGGGUAAAAAUUUAAUAAAAUCAACCGGUGAAGCCCAAUUAUUCGAGCAAUCACUUUCAGUAUCAUCAUUUUGACCUGAUGUUCACAAAAAGAGUAAAAGUCAAAUAGAUAUGCAAAACAAGUUCUGGUGAGAACUGAGAACUGAUCAAAUAAAAACACAACCAAAAGUUUCCUCUAUAACAUAAUGAAAGCCCAACAUCUGUGUCCAUUAGGUAAUCCCAACCUUGACUCGCAGCAAUGCGCAGUGCGGAGAAAUUACUGAUAAAUAAGUAUUGUCAGAAAAAUUCAUUCACUAUUACAAUGUCUUCAAUCUUUGUGCUGACCUAAACUCUGUUUGGGAUUGAGGUUGCAUAUCUGUAGUUUAAAAACUAUAUUACUAAAGUGUUUGACGACAUUAGUUGUUGUAGCUUGGAAGUUAAGUUGAUUUGAUUUUACAUUUGUAUGAUGAAAAAAUUUGUAUAUCUUUUAAAAUUUUAUCAAAAUUAUAUUUACUACAUUUGUAUGAUGAAAAAUAGGACCCUAAUCAACCUCAAAUUUUAUUGUUCAUAUGAUUUAUCUCAGUUAACAUAUAAAACCUUCUUCAGUUUCAGAAAUUAUUUGAACAAAAUGGUAGUUGAUAUAAAGCUUACUUGUUUUCAUAGGAAGCACUAAUUAAUCAAAUAAACAAUGACCUCUCCCUUUCCAAGGCUUCCCUUAAGCAAUUGCAAAAUGCAAA